GGGGCCGAAGGUCAAUUAGGUAUUAAAUAAUGGUUUUUAUCGUGUUGUAAUCUUAGGCUUUAAAAUUUGUUUGCGAUUUGUAAUAGCAAUGUAGCCGUGUCCUGUCCUUCCUCAGAUCCUACUGAAGUAUCUCCGGGUGCACGGCCUAGGGGUGACGAUGAGAUUAAAAAGAUGGCUGAGGCUAUUAUGGAUGAAGUUGUCGAUCGACUGUUGAACGAAGCUGCAGAAGUGGUACUUAGGGAAGACUAAAUGCUAUUGUAAAAACAUUUUAAAUGUAACAUGUGUAAUAUCUUGUAAUCCUGUAUGUAAUAUGUUUGUUUUAUUUUUCUUUAUGGUUCAAUUCUUUACGAUGCAUGAAACUUUACAUACGUACCGUUUUUGAGUCUGGCGAAAAAACACCUUCCCUUCUUUUCAUGCUUCGUGAAGAAGAAUUACCAUUUAUCACAACAAUAUCCGAAGUAUCCUGAAAAGUGUUGAAGCUUCGUAGAAACAUUCUUCAAGGCUAUACUUCAGAGAUCAAUAUUGUUUCUCCUUGUGACUUGGCAUGAUUUGCCCCUUUUUCAAAGCGUUUUCCCGAAGAUUGAUAUCAUAUCUCUUUCUUAUGCCACAUGCAGUAUGAUGUAUGAUGCUUAUGUUAUGCAAAAAAUGAUGCGAUGAUGUUAUGCUAUGUAAAGUGAUAUUUCGAAGGUACACGCAUAUCUGCGCGAUAAAACAUAAUCUUUUUGUGAAUCAGCGUUGACUUUUCGCUAUAAGCCUCCCUUAGGAGCUUCUUCGCCUUUUACUUCAGCGGAAUCAGCGUUGACUUUUCGCUGUAAGCUCUGCAUUCCCUUAGGAACGACUUUGGAGCUUCUUCGCCUUUUACUUAGGCGGUAUCAGCGUUGACUUUUCGCUGUAUGCUCUGCAUUCCUUUUGGAACGACUUUGGAGCAGAAAACUUACACUGCGCUCCCUUCGGAACGACUUUUUGUGACUUCGUCAAACUUACUCUGCGUUCCUUGGAACGACUUUUCGUUGCUUCGAAGAAUUUUUUCGAUAAUUCGAAGGUCCUCUUUGUUAUGACAAAUCCUUAAACUUCAACAACUGAAGCCUGUGAAGAAAAUAUAUUUUCCUUGUGGGAACUAUUUUCAUGAAAUCUAAACAAUGUCCUUUAUUACACAAAAAAUAAAACUGAAUGAAAAAGAUUACUAUCAAAGUAGGAUAUUUGUCAAUAGAUGUGCUUUGAUUCUGGCACAGUGCUGUUGACCGUGCGAGCUUCGGACUGUUCUCUGAAGUCCCUUUGAUGCGGAUCAUAUUGGCUCCCUUCUGGCUGCUGGCCUUGUUGCAACGGAGGUGGAGGCGGAGGCUGUUGCCAGGAAGCUUGAGGCUGACUCGCCGAAGCAACAGAGACUGCAGGAUGGUUGCCCACAUAUUCUGGGAUGUAGGGCGAAUGAUACGAAGCUGUAUGCAUGACCUGCUUCGGCUGGGCUUGUUGUGCUGCUGCUUCAGCUAUUUCCUUUUGCUUCUGAAUAGUAACAUGGCACAUCCUGGUAGUAUGGCCUUUGUUCUCACCGCAGAAUAAGCAAAAGAUUCUUCUCGGUUGAUCGCCAAAUCUUCCUCCGAAGCCCCUGGCACCUCUGCCUCUUGGUGCUGGUGGUCGGAAAGAGCUUUGCUGUUGCCCCGAAGCCUACGAGGAGUAUUGUGGCCUUUGCUGCUGACUCCCUUUAUCAUCAUUUUGAGUAGAAUUGUGAAUUGACCUGACAUGCCUCGAGUAGAACCUUCCUCCGAAGCCCCUGGUCAUCUCAGAAAACCUAAAAGCCUCCUCCCUUCUUUGACGAAAAUCAUUGUCAGCUCGAAUGUAUUCGUCCAUCUUCUGGAGCAACUUUUCCAGCGUUUGUGGUGGCUUUCUGGCAAAAUACUGUGCUGACGGCCCUGGCCGAAGCCCCUUGAUCAUAGCCUCAAUGACAAUCUCAUUGGGCACAGUUGGCGCCUGUGCCCUCAAUCGUAGAAACCUUCGGACAUAUGCCUGAAGGUACUCUUCAUGGUCCUGGGUACACUGGAAAAGAGCCUGAGCAGUUACCGGCUUCGUCUGAAACCCUUGAAAACUAGUUAUCAGCAUAUCCUUCAAUUUCUGCCAAGAAGUGAUUGUCCCUGGCCGAAGAGAAGAGUACCAAGUCUGAGCAACGCUUCUGACGGCCAUGACAAAUGAUUUUGCCAUGACUGCCGUGUUGCCACCGUACGAAGAUAUAGUUGCUUCAUAGCUCAUUAGGAAUUGCUUAGGGUCUGAGUGACCGUCAUAUAUGGGAAGCUGGGGUGGCUUGUAAGUCUGUGGCCAAGGUGUAGCCUGCAAUUCUGUUGAGAGAGGAGAAGCAUCAUCAAAAGCAAAGUUGCCAUGAUGGAAAUCGUCAUACCAGUCUUCCUCAUUAUGAAAGUCUUCCUGGUGAAACUCUCUGCGUGGAGGCCUUCGGUUUUGAUCAUCUUGAACAAGAUGACGAACCUCUUCGGAAGCUUCAUCUAUUUGUCUCUGAAGAUCAGCUAGACGGGCCAUCUUCUCCUUCUUGCGUUGAACCUACUGCUGAAGGAUUUCCAGAUUCUGAAUUUCCUGAUCUAGAUCAUCCUCCGGAGGUGUUGGACUGGCUGCCUUCCUCUUCUGGCUUCGUGCCUCUCUAAGAGAAAGGACGUCUUGAUUGGGGUCCAGCGGCUGCAGCGUGCCAGCCCCUGCUGCUGAAGCCUUCUUCGGCGGCAUGACGAAGGUGAUGCUUGCCGAAGGUGUUGAAAAGCUCAAGAAAUGGAAGUGAGUUCACCGGAGGUGGGCGCCAAUGUUGGGGACUUGUUCUCAAGUGCUAAGAGUUAAGAACAAGGCAACACAGAAAAUAUUAAUCGUUAUAGUCCUUCGUCCUCCGAAGCAUUAUUUCCCUUAGGAUAUAAUGAUUUACGGACGAAGGUUAUGAAGGACGUACCUUCAUAAAAUCAUUAAACGAUGACGAAGGUGAUAAUGUAAAGGAUAUAAAAGACAAUAUGAACGAUUAUAUAUUAUUAUCAGGCAUAAACAGAAAUAUUAUUGAAUUAUAAGUGUACCUUCAAUCGAGAGAGGAUGACAAUACAAGCGUGACGCAAAAAGUGAAUGCCCAGUCAGCGUGAACAGUACGGGGAUACUGUUCACCUAUUUAUAGGCACGGGACACAGCCCUUACAAAAUUACAUACAUGCCCUUUACAUUUGAUAAUAAUUCUAUAGUAGUCUAUCGAGGUCUGAAUAGCCUUUUCAUCUUUAAGUCGGUUCCACUCUUUGCUGUCACGCCGAAGCUUUCCUGCUCGCACCUUCGGCUCUGUAUCAACCUUCGUAUUAUCCCGGUCUACAGCAAUGCCGACUUUAGUCCGAGGAUACCUGUUCAUACAUUAUACUCCAGAAAUACUGUUAAAUCCUGUUUUUGAGGACCUUCGGAUGCCGAAGGUCCCCAACAGUUAUGGAUUUCCGAAAUUAUUUAGUGCUUAGAAUAGAUUAAUCCAAAUGAACAAUUUUAAUUCAAUUUUCAUGGCUAAACACUAUUACUAGUUGAUAGACAAUAUUAAUACAAAGUUAUUGCAACUGGAAUGACUCAAUUUGGAGUUAGAAUGAAUUUUCUAUGAAUUAAAUAAGUUUCUGCAAUUAUUUAUAUAUUCGUAAAUCAGUUUAUAAAUAGUUUUCUCUGAUUUACCUAGUCCUCGGACUGCGCGCGUCAAUACACAGAAAACCAGGGGCUAGCGCAAAAAGUACCCAAGACUCAGGACCUACCCGCGGUGGACUGCGAGUUAGUUUUCUAGAAACCGAGGGUUCUAUUUGCAAGGUGGCGCGACCGAAGGGGUAUCCUAAGAUCCCAACCGUUGGAUCGGAUCCGAGGGACCAGAUUAGUUUGCGUUGCGGUAAGUGAUGAAGCGAUCCUAACCGUUGGUAUCUGGAUCCACGGCCUGAAAUCACCCACGCCAAAAAUCUCACCCAAACCGAUCGAUCGCAAUCUAAAGGUUCCUGUUAUCUCUAUCCAAAGCGUUACGCAUGAUAUAAUCUCGGUCGCCCAUUAAGAUCUAACGGCCGAACGGCCUUGCCCCUACCCCGGCCGACCGACGGCAUCACCGCCACACCCCACGGCGGAGGCCAUGGCCGGCAAACACGAUCCUGCGCGCCAGCGCCCCAACCUGCCUUCAAUCGGUCGAUUUGCAUAGAGGGCGAAUAAGCGAACUCUAAGGGAAGCUCCUUACCAGGCUUUGCAACGCAGAGCACCACGACCACGACGAAGCGUGCCACCACGGCGAGAAAUCCCGCGUCCGAUUCUCUUCCUCCGGUGAGGUGGUCAGGAAGGAGGCGCCCAGGGCAUGAGCAUCGAUGCCUGCUCAACGGUGGCGUCAAGGAAGGCGAGGAUGGAGGAGAGCACCACCCACGGUCGGGACUGGAACUCGACCUCCCCUGCUAUCUAUGGUAUUCCGGUGGCGGCCCAAUUCGCUGCCCAGUACCCUACGCAUCCUCACCGGUGAUGGCAUGCGCAAAAGGGGGUGCGGCGAACGGGUCACAACGGUCAGGGUCCCGAUUAUAUGGCUCGAGGGGUAGCAACAACCACCCCGGAAUCCAUGGGUUCCGUUGGGAAUUUCCGGUCAUGGAGGAAGGAGUUCGGCGAGCAGGCGCACCUGCCAAGUUGGUCCCACCAUCAGGGAAGACGACGCACGGUGCAGACUGACGAAGUGGGUCCAUUUGGCCGGUGAAACCGCGCGCGCAAGUUUAGCCAGUUAGCUAGGAUCAACGCGGCGGCAUCCUUCAGUCAACACGCACCCGAAAUCCACGGGGAAGAAGACCGGAUGGCGAUUGGGUCCCACGUCGCAGUGACUAAAACAAAAGAAAAGUGGAAGAGGCUAGCUUGGGCCGUGAAAGGGAAUUCGGUAGUGGGCCGGUUCAGGUGAAUUUGACCCAAGACACUGAUUCCCCCUUUUUUAUUCUUUUUUUUUAUUUUCCCAUUUCAGCUUUAAAUUCCAAUCUUCAAUUUUUUUAUUCUAGGUUUUACACUUUUGAUAAAAUUCACAACAAACAAACAAAAUAUCAAGCAUGAGUUGCAAGUAUUCAUUUUAUUUUAUUUUAUUCAUUUAUUUAUUAUCCUACAAAAGCAAAUGCUUUUGGAUAUGUAGCACACAUAUAGUUAUCUUAAGACAAAUAGUUUCUAUUGUAUGGUUUCUUAUUAAAAGAUGUUAUGACAUUAGUACUUAUAAACUUCAACAAAGAAUAAUUUAUAUAAGAAUGUUUUAUUGAAUCUUUAUUAUAAAACUUUUUUUAGGCGAUGUAACUUGAAAAGUUUUGAAAGAAGAAAAAGAAAAAAAAAUAUUCUAACUCAAAAUCUUUGGAAAUUUUUUACAUAAUUCUCAAAAUGAGAUUUUGAGGUGUUACAAAUCCUACCCCCCUUAAAAGAAAUCCCGUCCACGAGAUUUGUAAGAAAAAGGAUGUAAAAAAACUUAAUUUAUAGUUUAGCCUUUAACUUCUAAUUAGUUUCAGAAUUAAGAAGUUUCAUGUUAUUUAGACAGUGGUUGUGAGGGCAUGGGUAUGUAUAUCCACUUUAUUGUGUAUGGUAAAAGAUGUCUUUAAAGCAUAGAGAGGUUUGGGUAAGAAGGAGUGCGGUAAGGAAAGACUCCAUCCAAGAUUUUUGGAUCUUGAUUCAUCUGAUGAUCUAGCUUGAUAUUUGAAGGCUUGAGUUGGGGCUGAAGACCAGAUUUGGCUUGACUCUUAUCCUUCCUUACGAGGCUGAUCCUUUCUUCCUCGAGCUUUGGUGUCUUCAUCCGGGUUUGUGACAAGAUGGGUAGAGGGUUCAAUAGCUAUAUGCUAGAUGGAAUUAGUUGUGUAACCUGUUUUGUAGGUCAAGUUGUUGGGUAGGGUCGAGUUGAUCUAAGAUCUCAAACUUGUUUAUAGGAGCAGGGUCUAAUGUAUUCCACUAGGAUUGACUAUUCUGUUAGGUAACUCAUUUUAGAUUGGAUCAUAGUAGAUUAGAUGGAGUCUAGAGUAGAUCGAUAUCACCAGAUUAGACUAAACAAUAUCUAAUUACUUUGGAUUAAAUCAUGGUUGUUACACUACUAUGGGGUAAAUAUGCUUAUUAGGGCAAGAUGAAUCCAUAGGGAUAAGGUAGAAUCUUUUGAGGUCAGUUAGACCUAUUAGGGUGACAUAGACCUUUUCAAGAUAAGAUGAGUAUCUUUUUAAGAUAAGAUAGAUCUAUGAGUGUAGGAUAGAAUCUUUCAAGAUGAGAUGGAUAUUGUUAGGCUAGAUAAUUUAAUGAGGCAUAAUUUAGUUUAUCUAGUUAUUUUUAUAAGCAUUUUCUUUCCUAUAUUUAUAUGCAGAUGUAAUUGUGGACAUUACUCCACAACUCAUCACACUCAAUCAAAGAUCCAAAUCAGACAAGUAUCAUAAGAACAAACACUCAAGCGUAUAGAUACUUACAAAAAAUAAUUUUGUUUUUUUUGUUCCUAAGAGUAGGUCUCCUAUUCCUAAAGUCACUUUAGGCACAGGAUUUCAAAGUGUGAAAUCCACAUUUGUCUUUAGAAGGAAAAGGUAAGAAUAAUCAGAGUAGAGCGGAAAUAGAUGAGAAAAGAUUAAGGAAAGUUCGGAAAGAAUCAGAGUAGCAAAGGUAAGUAGUAAUGGUUGUCCAGUUCUAUCUAGGUUUCAUCCUACAGUCAACAUUCCUCUGAUACCACUUCUGUCACACCCGGGUUUUAGAGGCACCAAGACCCGGGCGCGAACAUAAUCACCAGGUGUGCUGGGACCAAGUCUCACACAUAUGAUGAAUCAUGGCACAAGAUCAAAUGUCACAUCUUUACUAUAUAAUAGGAGUUCUGUACAAAAUAAAUAAAUAAUUACAUUAUAAGGAGACAACGAUCCAGCAACCCAAAGUUGACUGGGAGACGACGGCCUAGACCUCUCACGAACUUGUCACAGCAUCUUCCAUGCGCCUCAUCAUGUGGUACCUGUUCUUGACCUGUGGGGGGGUGAGACAGCAAGAGUGAGCUCACAUACGUUCAUCGCUCAACAAGUUGUGGGGAAUAAUGUGCAUGAACUCACCAAAGGUGGGAGCUCACGUGAAGUGUAAGGCUUACCAAAGAGGAUGGUUAGAGCUGAGCAUUGCUUUUAAAGUUGGUCAAAAUUUUAUUAACAGUUACUAAGUAUAAGUAAAUACCAACCCAAUUAAGAAAAGUAAUAACAUCAUCUGCGAUGCAAUGCAUAUGACAAAUUGAAUUUAGUUCCAUAAAUUAAUCAUGUGAGGGUCCGAGCUGCUCAUGACCGUGAGCACGGCUAGUAUACCAGUUUUACACUCUGCAGAGGUUACGCAUCUUUACCCACAAGUCAUGUUACCCAUCUGCCAAGGGAUCGCGACUUCCCAUACACCUCUACCGAGGAGGCGAGGCAGGGUAACACUACGAGGCCUUUACAAAGUUCCAUUAGCUUCAGAAAACCCGCUACAGUUUAUAGGAAGCUCCAAUGCAGGGUUCUUGCCUGACCGCCAUCGCAGCAAAAUCAACCAAGGACCUCCCUACACUGACCACUCCCUUACUGCCCUUGCCCCUUUCGGGUAAGGUAGUCCUCUACUAGCUUUCCUAAUUAAUCAGCCAAGGGCGUCCAUAAACCCUUGUGGUAGCACUGAUUUCCCGGGUGGUCGCUCCAUGUUCCAAUUAACAUAAUGAUCUUAUCAUGAACAGUGAUAAUAAACAGAUAAUAAAAGUAUAAUCGUGAACAAUGUAUCUUCAUACCCAAAACCACAUAAAGCACUAGCAAGUACUACCCAAAAAGUUCAGUGGUAAACAAGGUAUAAAGAUAGACAAACUAGGGUAACCUAUUGGGUCCCAUCAAAAUUAACCUAUGCAGAUCAUUAUGAUUAAUCAGAACAUGGCUGGGUAAAAAGAAGUGAUCAAGGGCACAACUUGCCUGGGACUUGAGAUUCCAGGUACCAGGAUGAUCUUUAGGCGACUCGUGACCUCACGCUAGUCGUAGCAAUACAGACAAACAUGUAUAGGCAAAAUUAACAUCACACCAAACAUGAGAACAAACUGUGUAAUAAUAUUCUACGCUGCGUAACGAGAUCAUAGAAACAAGAACCACUAAAUUCGGAGCUAUGGUUAUUAAGUUAUGGAUUUCCGAAAUUAUUUAGUGCUUAGAAUAGAUUAAUCCAAAUGAACAAUUUUAAUUCAAUUUUUAUGGCUAAACACUAUUACUAGUUGAUAGACAAUAUUAAUACAAAGUUAUUGCAACUGGAAUGACUCAAUUUGGAGUUAGAAUGAAUUUUCUAUGAAUUAAAUAAGUUUCUGCAAUUAUUUAUAUAUUCGUAAAUCAAUUUAUAAAUAGUUUUCUCUGAUUUACCUAGUCCUCGGACUGCGCGCGUCAAUACACAGAAAACCAGGGGCUAGCGCAAAAAGUACCCAAGACUCAGGACCUACCCGCGGUGGACUGCGGGUUAGUUUUCUAGAAACCGAGGGUUCUAUUUGCAAGGUGGCGCGACCGAAGGGGUAUCCUAAGAUCCCAACCGUUGGAUCGGAUCUGAGGGACCAGAUUAGUUUGCGUUGCGGUAAGUGAUGAAGCGAUCCUAACCGUUGGUAUCUGGAUCCACAGCCUGAAAUCACCCACGCCAAAAAUCUCACCCAAACCGAUCGAUCGCAAUCUAAAGGUUCCUGUUAUCUCUAUCCAAAGCGUUACGCAUGAUAUAAUCUCGGCCGCCCAUUAAGAUCUAACGGCCGAACGGCCUUGCCCCUACCCCCGGCCGACCAACGACAUCACCGCCACACCCCACGGCGGAGGCCAUGGCCGGCAACCACGAUCCUGCGCGCUAGCGCCCCAACCUGCCUUCAAUCGGUCGAUUUGCGUAGAGGGCGAAUAAGCGAACUCUAAGGGAAGCUCCUUACCAGGCUUUGCAACGCAGAGCACCACGGCCACGGCGAAGCGUGCCACCGCGGCGAGAAAUCCCGCGUCCGAUUCUCUUCCUCCGGCGAGGUGGUCAGGAAGGAGGCGCCCAGGGCACGAGCAUCGAUGCCUGCUCAACGGUGGCGUCAAGGAAGGCGAGGAUGGAGGAGAGCAAUACCCACAGCCGGGACUGGAACUCGACCUCCCCUGCUAUCUAUGGUAUUCCGGUGGCGGCCCAAUUCGCUGCCCAGUACCCUACGCAUCCUCACCGGUGAUGGCAUGCGCAAAAGGGGGUGCGGCGAACGGGUCACAGCGGUCAGGGUCCCGAUUAUAUGGCUCGAGGGGUAGCAACAACCACCCCGGAAUCCAUGGGUUCCAUUGGGAAUUUCCGGUCAUGGAGAAAGGAGUUCGGCGAGCAGGCGCACCUGCCAAGUUGGUCCCACCAUCAGGGAAGACGACGCACGGCGCAGACUGACGAAGUGGGUCCAUUUGGCCGGUGAAACCGCGCGCGCAAGUUUAGCCAGUUAGCUAGGAUCAACGCGGCGGCAUCCUUCAGUCAACGCGCACCCGAAAUCCACGGGGAAGAAGAAGACCGGAUGGCGAUUGGGUCCCACGUCGCAGUGACUAAAACAAAAGAAAAGUGGGAAGAGGCUAGCUUGGGCCGUGAAAGGGAAUUCGGUAGUGGGCCGGUUCAGGUGAAUUUGACCCAAGACACUGAUUCCCCCUUUUUUAUUCUUUUUUUUUAUUUUCCCAUUUCAGCUUUAAAUUCCAAUCUUCAAUUUUUUUAUUCUAGGUUUUACACUUUUGAUAAAAUUCACAACAAACAAACAAAAUAUCAAGCAUGAGUUGCAAGUAUUCAUUUUAUUUUAUUUUAUUCAUUUAUUUAUUAUCCUACAAAAGCAAAUGCUUUUGGAUAUGUAGCACACAUAUAGUAAUCUUAAGACAAAUAGUUUCUAUUGUAUGGUUUCUUAUUAAAAGAUGUUAUGACAUUAGUACUUAUAAACUUCAACAAAGAAUAAUUUAUAUAAGAAUGUUUUUAUUGAAUCUUUAUUAUAAAACUUUUUUAGGCGAUGUAACUUCAAAAGUUUUGAAAGAAGAAAAAGAAAAAAAAUAUUCUAACUCAAAAUCUUUGGAAAUUUUUACAUAAUUCUCAAAAUGAGAUUUUGAGGUGUUACAACGGCGAAGCGGACGCUCCGCGAGAUGAGAGGGUAAGAAGGGGAUGACAGACUUCCGUGCGGUGUGUCUAAGACGAGCCAUCUACAAAAGACAUUGCAAGCAUAAGAGUGAGAACAGAACUAGUAUGACCAGCAAGUAAUGAACCAUAAAUAAACGAAGGAUUAGAAUAAAACACAAUUUUCAGCAAGGUAUAAUAUAUAGUAGAACAUAGUUUUGGUCGAUAUGACCAACUUUUGAAGGGAUGCCAAAGUCAAGGCAGGGACAGAGGUCUAUAAUCCUUAGAACGACCAUUCUACUCUAGGUUAGCAGUCCUACAGUCAGCAUGGCUUUGAUACCACCUAUGUCACACCCAGUUUUAGAAGGCAAACCGAAUGCGAACCAUGUACGUGCCAGGAUCAGCAAUUCACGUACACAGCAGUUACAUAACAUGGACAUCAUCACACAGUGCUCAAAUAGUAUUAAAAAGGGAAAUAGUAGUCGAUUACAUCAUAUGUCUGAGACAUCCACAUAGUCUUUACAAUAAAUCAAAGUGCAGAAAAGAAACGUAGAUAAACGCGGCCUUCACAGGCAGCCGACUGGGGGUUGCCGCUAACCCACGCCUAGAACUCAUCAUAAUCUUGGAACUCCUGAUGGUCUCCUUCCACGGCUUCAUCUUCUCCUGAGCAGUGGUUGCAAUGCUGACAACCUGGGGAUGGGGGGUUUGGUGUGUAGAGCAAGGGUGAGUACACAUCAACAUACUCAGCAAGUAUCCUAUUUGGUUGUAGUGGACUAGCUUUAUAUGGGGAUAAGUCAAGCAGUUGCUUUUAGUUGGUCAGAUUAUUAUUACUAGUAGAGAAAGCCAAGUUUUAGGAUUAACCCACGUUAUUAACCCAAGCGUACUCCUUUCCAAACGGAAAGAGCACCACUUACCAUUACCAGAGUCAAAACCAAGAACCAUCAAUCUCAUUGCCACCUGCAACUCCGAACAUCUCUGAUCAAGUACCACUAAUCACUGGAGCUCCCUUGGCCGCUCAUAACCGCGAGCACGGCUGGUAAAUCAGUUUUCAUACACUCUGCAGAGGUUGUGCACUUUACCCACAAGCCAUGAUUCCCUUUCUGCCCGGAGAGAGCUACUCCCCAUUGACCACUACCUAGGUGGUCCAGCAGGGCAUCACUACGUAGCUUUUACAAAGAUUCCCCGGGGCUGUAGCCGCCCGUUAGGUUUCCUAAAUGCACCGCACUCCUCCCCAAGGGGCGAACCCAAGCUUGGCAGAGCGAGCCGCAUACACCGAGUCCCAUUGACGGCACGACGGCUAAGUGAACUACACCCCAGAUCCUCUAAUAGGGCACCCCAUUCCACCCUCAUGGUUGCACUGUUUUCCCGGGCGGUCAUCCAACGAACAGGUCCUUACAGAGAGGCACUCGAGAAACCGCUCGAGCCCCCUUGAAGGACACAAGUAUAACAUCAUAAUAAAAGAGGGGAAAACAGCGUAUCAUUGAUCAUUCUCAUCAUGUUCAUUGAUUAGGGUUGAGGAAUAGCAUAAAAUUAAGCAAUAAUAAUCCAACCCAAAUAGGUAAACAAGGACAUGGAUAACAAAACUAGUCAAUCCUUAGGUAUAACUAUGAAAUGCGGGAGGUGAAUUAAAGAAUGUAUAGGACAAAGAUAGGUCAAGGGACACUUGCCUCCACCAACUGACUGCUGCUCAGGGGCUUCUCCUGCGAGUUCUUCGGGCUCUCCGACCGGAUCGUUCUCUAUGCGAGCGCAAACAUACAUACAUCCACAUAUUUAAUACAAAAGAACAGUACACCAUACAAUAGAAUGCGGUAAAUAAACAGACGUUCCACGCGGGGUUCGCAAUUACGGUUAAGAGAGAAAGAUGAAAAGACAGUCGAGAAACGAUCACGUUACAUUAUUAUGAAUUAAACCACUCGCUCAAUUGAAAGGCAUUAAUGUAGAUACUACGUUUAGCAUAAAGUAAAGUCAUGUUUCAUGUCUAAUCAUUAUAAGCAGAUGAAGAUAAAUUAAAAGGAUUGUCGCGCGGCGAGACGCGCGACAUAGUACUCUAAAUCGAAAUAAGAAAUCAAUGACUCGUCGUGCGACGGAACACACGACGAGACACUUGCAUUAAUUAUAAAGAGACGUUGAGCGUCGCGCGGCGAAACGCACGACGGCAUAUGUCAACAGAACUGAGUUUAAAGUGGAACGUCGCGUGGCUUGACGCGCGACGUUACACAUUAAACAACCUGAAAUUAAAAAGAAUCGUCGCGCGACGAAGCGCACGACGCAACACAUCAAUAGGAUCUGAAAUUAGAUAAAUUCGUCACGCGACAAAGCGCGCGACGCAGCACCCUAACUUACGGAGUUUGAAAUUAACUACAAACCCAAAAAUAAUCACCGCGCGCGUGGGUUUGCGCACGCGGGAACGCGUUAGGGGGUAAACGAAGCCACGCGAGUCACGUCGGGGGCCGGGACUGAGAGCACCUAGAGGGGGGGGGUGAAUAGGUGAUCCUGUAAAAGUUCAAAACUUAAGCCACAAAAACUUGUUAAGGGUUAGCACAAGUAUGGCCAAGUGGCUAGAGAGAACUCAAAACACGAUAACCACAAGAAAGUAAUCACAGAGUUGACACGGUGGUUAUCCCGUGGUUCGGCCAAGUACAAAACUUGCCUACUCCACGUUGUGGCGUCCCAACGGACGAGAGUUGCACUCAACUCCUCUCAAGUGAUCCAAUGAUCAACUUGAAUACCACGGUGUUUUUCUUUCCUUUGAUCUUUUCCCGUUUGCGAGGAAUCUCCACAACUUGGAGUCUCUCGCCCUUACAAUUGAGUUCACAAAGAAUACGGAGUAAGGUGGGAAUGAGCAACGCACACAAGACUCGAAAAUCAGAGCAACAACACGCACACAAGUCGCAACAAGAGCUCGCAACGCAACACAAAGAGUUCACAACUCCACAAGAGCUCUAUAUGCUAUCACAAUGAAACGAAUGCGUGAGAUUGAUGUCUUGGUGCUUAGAAGAGUUGUAGGAAUGCUUGGUAUACUCCUCCAUGCGCCUAGGGGUCCCUUUUAUAGCCCCAAGGCAGCUAGGAGCCGUUGGGAACAAAUCUGGAAAGCCAUCUUUGCCUUCUGUCUCGUGGCGCACCGGACAGUCCGGUGCACACCGGACACUGUCCGGUGCCCGAUUUGUUUCCUUAAAUGGCGAAGCCGACCGUUGCCGACCGUUGCAGAUCUGGCGCACCGGACAGUCCGGUGCACACCGGACAGUCCGGUGCUUCCUUCCGACCGUUGGCUCGGCCACGUGUCGCGCGCCGAUCGCGCGGCCGACCGUUGGCCCGGCCGACCGUUGGCUCACCGGACAGUCCGGUGCACACCGGACAGUCCGGUGAAUUUUAGCCGAAGUCGCCGGAGAAAAAACCGAGAGCGGCCUCUUCGGCCGAGGCAGCCUGGCGCACCGGACACUGUCCGGUGCACCACCGGACAGUCCGGUGCCCCAGACCGAAGCAGCCCCUUGGCUGUACACAGCCAAGUCUUCUCUUCUCUUCUUCUAUCUGUUUCUAACACUUAGACAAAUAUAUUAGUACACAAAACCAAUGUACUAAGGCUUAGAAACAUACCUUAACUUGUGAUUUGCACUUUGAUCAUCCUUGGGCAUAUUUUCACAUUUAAGCACUUGUGUUUGCACUCAAUCACCAAAAUACUUAGAAAUGGCCCAAAGGCACAUUUCCCUUUCAAUCUCCCCCUUUUUGGUGAUUUAUGCCAACACAAUAUAAAGCAACUAGAACAAGUGCAAAAUCACUUUAAAUAAAAACUCAAAUUGGUUUUAUUCAAUUUUGGCAUAUAUGGAUCAUCCUUUGCCACCACUUGGUUUGUUUUUGCAAAUCAAACUCAAAUCUCUAUCUCUAAGUCAAACACACAUGUUGAAGUAUAAAGAGAGUCAUUCCAAAAGAGAUUGAUCAAAGAUUUCAAAAACUCCCCCUAUUUCCCAUAAUCAAUACUUCUCCCCACAAGAAGCCAACUUUUGACAAGAGAGACAAUAAAAGCUUUUGACACAACAAAAACUCUAUUCUACUAUUUUCAAAAUCUCUCAAGUGGUAGCUGAUCCAUUUAUCGCUUUGGCCUUUAUUUUCUCCCCCUUUGGCAUCAAGCACCAAAACGGGAUCAAUCUUGGCCUUUUAACCUCAUUGCCUCACCAAAGUCUUCAAUUAAGAGCAAAUGGCAAUAAGAUUUCAUGAGAUGAACUUGGAAUUAGUUACCCUCUCAUCGGAGUGCAGUGGAAGUCUUUCAUGGUCCAAGUCCACCUUUUCCCUUUCAAUCCUCCUUCGAGACUAAAUUAUCAAACUCAAGCACAAGGUUAGUCUCAAAGGGUCAAGUUGUAACACAUCUCCCCCUAAACAUGUGCAUCACUUUGCAACGGACUUGUGAGGUCCAGGGAGUGUUUGUACAACUUGAGCACCAUAAUAAGCAACAUAAUGCAAAAAAAGGAACAUGAUCAAAAGCAUAACUACAUGUAUGCUACAAUUCAAUCCAGGUUCCGCGAAUCUAAGAUAUUUAGCUCACUACGCAGCCUGCAAAAGGUCUUCUCAUCUAGAGGCUUGGUAAAGAUAUCGGCUAGCUGGUUCUCGGUGCUAACAUGAAACACUUCGAUAUCCCCCUUUUGCUGGUGGUCUCUCAAAAAGUGAUGCCGGAUGUCUAUGUGCUUUGUGCGGCUGUGCUCAACAGGAUUCUCCGCCAUGCGGAUAGCACUCUCAUUGUCACAUAGGAGUGGGACUUUGCUCAGAUUGUAGCCAAAGUCCCGGAGGGUUUGCCUCAUCCAAAGUAGUUGCGCGCAACACUGACCUGCGGCAACGUACUCGGCCUCAGCGGUGGAUAGGGCAACGGAUGUUUGUUUCUUAGAAUUCCAUGACACCAGGGACCUUCCUAAGAAUUGGCACGUCCCCGAUGUACUCUUCCUAUCGACCUUACAUCCAGCAUAGUCGGAGUCAGAGUAUCCAACUAAGUCAAAGGUAGACCCCUUUGGAUACCAGAGCCCGAAGCAAGGCGUAGCAACCAAAUAUCUAAGAAUUCGCUUCACCGCCACUAAGUGACACUCCUUAGGAUCGGAUUGAAAUCUAGCACACAUGCAUACGCUAAGCAUAAUAUCCGGUCUACUAGCACAUAAAUAAAGCAAAGAACCUAUCAUUGACCGGUAUGCUUUUUGAUCAACGGACUUACCUCCUUUGUUGAGGUCGGUGUGUCCGUCGGUCCCCAUCGGAGUCUUUGCGGGCUUGGCGUCCUUCAUCCCAAACCGCUUUAGCAGAUCUUGCGUGUACUUCGUUUGGGAGAUGAAGGUGCCGUCCUUGAGUUGCUUCACUUGGAACCCAAGGAAGUAGUUCAACUCGCCCAUCAUCGACAUCUCGAAUUUCUGCGUCAUCACCCUGCUAAACUCUUCACAAGACUUUUGGUUAGUAGAACCAAAUAUUAUGUCAUCAACAUAAAUUUGGCACACAAACAAAUCACCAUCACAUGUCUUAGUGAAAAGAGUUGGAUCGGCCUUCCCAACCUUGAAAGCAUUAGCAAGUAAAAAGUCUCUAAGGCAUUCAUACCAUGCUCUUGGGGCUUGCUUAAGUCCAUAGAGCGCCUUAGAGAGCUUACACACAUGGUCGGGGUACCGUUCAUCCUCGAAGCCAGGGGGUUGCUCCACGUACACCUCCUCCUUGAUUGGCCCGUUGAGGAAAGCGCUCUUCACAUCCAUUUGGAACAACCUGAAAGAAUGGUGAGCGGCAUAUGCUAGCAAGAUUCGAAUUGACUCUAGCCUAGCCACAGGAGCAAAAGUCUCCUCAAAAUCCAAACCUGCGACUUGGGCAUAACCUUUUGCCACAAGUCGAGCCUUGUUUCUCGUCACCACCCCGUGCUCGUCCUGUUUGUUGCGGAACACCCACUUGGUUCCCACAACAUUUUGCUUCGGACGAGGCACCAGUGUCCAAACUUCAUUGCGCUUGAAAUUGUUUAACUCCUCUUGCAUGGCCAACACCCAGUCCGGAUCUAGCAAGGCCUCUUCUACCCUGAAAGGCUCAAUAGAAGAGACAAAGGAGUAAUGCUCACAAAAAUUAACUAAUCGAGAUCGAGUAGUUACUCCCUUGCUAAUGUCACCCAGAAUUUGGUCGACGGGAUGAUCCCUUUGAAUCAUCGCUCGAACUUGGGUUGGAGGUGCCGGUUGCACUUCUUCCUCCAUCACUUGAUUAUCUUGUGCUCCCCCUUGAUCAAGCGCCUCCACUUGAGGUACCUGUUCGUCAUCUUUGGUUGGGGGAUGCACCAUAGUUGAGGAAGAAGGUUGAUCUCGUUCAUCUUGUUCCUGUGGCCGUACUUCUCCAAUCGCCAUGGUCCGUAUAGCGGCCGUCGGAACAUCUUCUUCAUCUACAUCAUCACAAUCAACAACUUGCUCUCUUGGAGAGCCAUUAGUCUCAUCAAAUACAACGUCGCUAGAGACUUCAACCAAACCCGAUGAUUUGUUGAAGACUCUAUACGCCUUUGUAUUUGAGUCAUAACCUAACAAAAACCCUUCUACAGCUUUGGGAGCAAACUUAGAAUUUCUACCUUUCUUCACUAGAAUGUAGCACUUGCUCCCAAAUACACGAAAGUAAGAUACAUUGGGUUUGUUACCGGUUAGAAGCUCAUACGACGUCUUCUUGAGGAGGCGAUGAAGGUAGACCCUGUUGAUGGCAUGGCAAGCAGUGUUCACGGCUUCCGUCCAAAAGCACUCGGGGGUCUUGAACUCUCCUAGCAUCGUCCUCGCCAUGUCAAUGAGCGUCCUGUUCUUCCUCUCUACCACACCAUUUUGCUGUGGUGUGUAGGGAGCGGAGAACUCGUGCUUGAUCCCUUCUUCUUCAAGGAACUCCUCCACUUGAAGGUUCUUGAAUUCGGACCCGUUGUCGCUUCUUAUCUUUUUCACUUUGAGCUCAAACUCAUUUUGAGCUCUCCUGAGGAAGCGUUUGAGAGUCCCUUGGGUUUCGGAUUUUUCCUGCAAAAAGAACACCCAAGUGAAGCGGGAAAAGUCAUCAACAAUAACUAAACCAUACUUACUUCCUCCUAUGCUCAGAUAGGCGACAGGUCCGAAGAGGUCCAUAUGCAGCAGCUCCAGGGGUCUUGAAGUGGUCAUCACGUUCUUGCUGUGAUGUGCUCCUCCCACUUGUUUACCUGCUUGACAAGCUGCACAAGGUCUAUCUUUUUCGAAAUGCACGUUAGUCAAACCUAUCACGUGUUCUCCCUUUAGAAGCUUGUGAAGGUUCUUCAUCCCCACAUGUGCUAAGCGGCGAUGCCACAGCCAGCCCAUGCUAGUCUUAGCUAUUAAGCAUGCAUCUAGACCGGCCUCUUCUUUUGCAAAAUCAACUAAAUAAAGUUUGCCGUCUAAUACACCCUUAAAAGCUAAUGAACCAUCGCUUCUUCUAAAGACAGACACAUCUAUAUUUGUAAAUAGACAAUUAUAUCCCAUAUGACAUAAUUGACUCACAGAUAGCAGAUUGUAUCCAAGACUCUCUACUAAAAAUACAUUAGAGAUAGAAUGCUCAUUAGAAAUCGCAAUUUUACCUAAACCUUUUACCUUGCCUUGAUUCCCAUCACCGAAUACAAUUGAAUCUUGGGAAUCUUUAUUCUUGACGUAGGAGGUGAACAUCUUCUUCUCCCCCGUCAUAUGGUUUGUGCAUCCGCUGUCGAUAAUCCAGCUUGAACCCCCGGAUGCAUAAACCUGCAAGGCAAAUUUAGGCUUGGGACUUAGGUACCCAACUCUUGUUGGGUCCUACAAGGUUAGUCACAAUUUCCUUAGGGACCCAAAUGCAAGUUUUAUCACCUUUGCAUUUUGCCCCUAACUUCCUAGCAAUUACUUUUCUAUCCUUUCUACAAAUUGCAAAUGAAGCAUUCAAAGCACAAUAAAUUGUAGAGGGUUCAUUCACUACUUUUCUAUGAACAUUUGCAACAUUUCUUUUAGAAACAACAUUUCUCCUAGUAACAUUUCUAUUAUACACAUAAGAAGAACUAGGAGCACACAUGGCAUGAGAAUCAUAAACAUAUGAAUCAAAAGCAUCAUAACUUCUAUUUCUAGUUUGUCUUUUAUCAUGAUACAAAAAGGCAUGGUUCCUUUUAGCACUAGUAGCCAUAGGGGCCUUCCCUUUCUCCUUGGCGGGAAUGGGAGCCUUAUGACUUGUUAAGUUCUUGGCUUCCCUCUUGAAGCCAAGUCCAUCCUUAAUUGAGGGGUGUCUACCAACCGUGUAGGCAUCCCUAGCAAAUUUUAGUUUUUCAAAAUCACUUUUGCUAGUCUUAAGUCGAGCAUUAAGACUAGCUACUUCAUCACUCAAUUUUGAAAUGGAAACUAAGUGUUCACUACAGGCAUUAAUAUCAACAUCCUUACACCUAGUGCAAAUUUCAACAUGUUCAACACAAGAGUUGGAUUUAUUUGCUACUUCUAAUUUAGCAUUUAAAUCAUUGUUGACACCUUUCAAAGUAGAAAUGGUUUCAUGACAAGUAGAUAGUUCAAAAGAAAGCAUUUCAUUUCUUUUAACCUCUAAAGCAUAGGAUUUUUGUGCCUCAACAAAUUUAUCAUGCUCUUCAUACAACAAAUCCUCUUGCUUUUCUAAAAGUAUAUUCUUUUCAUUCAAGGCAUCAAUUAAUUCAUUAAUUUUGUCUAUCUUAGAUCUAUCUAAGCCCUUGAACAAACAUGAAUAAUCUACUUCAUCCUCAUCACUAGAUUCGUCCUCACUUGAAGAAGCAUAGGUAGAGUUGCGAGUACAUACCUUCUUCUCCCUUGCCAUAAGGCAUGUGUGACGCUCGUUGGGGAAGAGGGUUGAUUUGUUGAAGGCGGUGGCGGCGAGUCCUUCAUUGUCGGAGUCGGAUGAGGAGCAAUCCGAGUCCCACUCCUUGCCUAGAUGCGCCUCACCCUUUGCCUUCUUAUAAUGCUUCUUCUUUUCCCUCUUGUUUCCCUUUUCCUGGUCACUUUCAUUAUCAGGACAGUUAGCAAUAAAAUGACCAAGCUUACCGCAUUUGAAGCAUGAUCGCUUCCCCUUGGUCUUAGUCUUGCUCGGCUGUCCAUUGCGACCCUUUAGCACCGUCUUGAAGCGCUUAAUGAUGAGAGCCAUUUCUUCAUCAUUAAGCCCGGCCGCCUCAAUUUGCGCCACCUUGCUUGGUAGUGCCUCCUUGCUCCUCGAUGCCUUGAGAGCAAUGGGUUGAGGCUCGUGGAUUGGACCGUUCAACGCGUCAUCGACGUACCUUGCCUCCUUGAUCAUCAUCCGCCCGCUCACGAAUUUUCCAAGUACUUCUUCGGGCGUCAUCAUCGUGUACCUGGGGUUCUCACGAAUAUUGUUCACGAGAUGAGGAUCAAGAACGGUAAAUGACCUGAGCAUUAGGCGGACGACGUCGUGAUCCGUCCAACGCGUGCUUCCGUAGCUCCUUAUCUUGUUGAUAAGGGUCUUGAGCCGGUUGUAAGUUUGAGUUGGCUCUUCUCCCCUUAUCAUGGCGAAUCGUCCAAGCUCGCCCUCCACCAACUCCAUCUUGGUGAGCAUGGUGAUGUCGUUCCCCUCGUGAGAGAUCUUGAGGGUGUCCCAUAUCUGCUUGGCAUUGUCCAAGCCGCUCACCUUAUUGUACUCUUCCCUGCACAAAGAUGCUAAGAGAACAGUAGUAGCUUGUGCAUUUUUAUGAAUUUGUUCAUUGAUAAACAUAGGGCUAUCCGAGCUAUCGAAUUUCAUUCCAUUCUCUACAAUCUCCCAUAUGCUUGGAUGGAGAGAGAAUAAAUGACUACGCAUUUUGUGACUCCAAAAUCCGUAGUCCUCCCCAUCAAAAUGUGGAGGUUUACCAAGAGGAAUGGAAAGCAAAUGCGAAUUCGAACUAUGUGGAAUACGAGAAUAAUCAAAUGAAAAGUUCGAAUUAACCGGUUUCCUUUGUUUGUCGUGGUCGUCGUUCUUUUGGGAAGAAGAGGACUCAUCGCUGUCGUAGUAGACGAUCUCCUUGAUGCGUCUUGUCUUCUUCUUCUUCCCAUCUCUUCGCUUGUGGCCCGAGCCCGAGUCAUUGGACUUGUCAUCCCUUGGCUCGUUGACGAAGGACUCCUUCUCCUUGUCGUUUAUCACAAUUCCCUUCCCCUUAGGAUCCAUCUCUUCGGGCGGUUAGUCCCUUUCUUGAAGAGAAUGGCUCCGAUACCAAUUGAGAGCACCUAGAGGGGGGGGGUGAAUAGGUGAUCCUGUAAAAGUUCAAAACUUAAGCCACAAAAACUUGUUAAGGGUUAGCACAAGUAUGGCCAAGUGGCUAGAGAGAACUCAAAACACGAUAACCACAAGAAAGUAAUCACAGAGUUGACACGGUGGUUAUCCCGUGGUUCGGCCAAGUACAAAACUUGCCUACUCCACGUUGUGGCGUCCCAACGGACGAGAGUUGCACUCAACUCCUCUCAAGUGAUCCAAUGAUCAACUUGAAUACCACGGUGUUUUUCUUUCCUUUGAUCUUUUCCCGUUUGCGAGGAAUCUCCACAACUUGGAGUCUCUCGCCCUUACAAUUGAGUUCACAAAGAAUACGGAGUAAGGUGGGAAUGAGCAACGCACACAAGACUCGAAAAUCAGAGCAACAACACGCACACAAGUCGCAACAAGAGCUCGCAACGCAACACAAAGAGUUCACAACUCCACAAGAGCUCUAUAUGCUAUCACAAUGAAACGAAUGCGUGAGAUUGAUGUCUUGGUGCUUAGAAGAGUUGUAGGAAUGCUUGGUAUACUCCUCCAUGCGCCUAGGGGUCCCUUUUAUAGCCCCAAGGCAGCUAGGAGCCGUUGGGAACAAAUCUGGAAAGCCAUCUUUGCCUUCUGUCUCGUGGCGCACCGGACAGUCUGGUGCACACCGGACACUGUCCGGUGCCCGAUUUGUUUCCUUAAAUGGCGAAGCCGACCGUUGCCGACCGUUGCAGAUCUGGCGCACCGGACAGUCCGGUGCACACCGGACAGUCCGGUGCUUCCUUCCGACCGUUGGCUCGGCCACGUGUCGCGCGCCGAUCGCGCGGCCGACCGUUGGCCCGGCCGACCGUUGGCUCACCGGACAGUCCGGUGCACACCGGACAGUCCGGUGAAUUUUAGCCGAAGUCGCCGGAGAAAAAACCGAGAGCGGCCUCUUCGGCCGAGGCAGCCUGGCGCACCGGACACUGUCCGGUGCACCACCGGACACUGUCCGGUGCACCACCGGACAGUCCGGUGCCCCAGACCGAAGCAGCCCCUUGGCUGUACACAGCCAAGUCUUCUCUUCUCUUCUUCUAUCUGUUUCUAACACUUAGACAAAUAUAUUAGUACACAAAACCAAUGUACUAAGGCUUAGAAACAUACCUUAACUUGUGAUUUGCACUUUGAUCAUCCUUGGGCAUAUUUUCACAUUUAAGCACUUGUGUUUGCACUCAAUCACCAAAAUACUUAGAAAUGGCCCAAAGGCACAUUUCCCUUUCAGGGACGCCGCGCGCAGGGGCCGAAGGCCGCGUGCAGGGGGCUGCGCGCCGGGGCAGGGGCCGCGCCGGGGGCAGGGGAGGCCGCGCCGGGGGGCCGAGCCGCACCGGGGGCAAGGCCGCCGCGCCGGGGAGCGAGCAAGGGGCGGGCGGACCACGCCGGGGCCGGGGGCGCCGCCGCGGGGAGGGGCAGGGGCGGGCACCGCGCCGGGGGCCAAGGCGGGGGCGGGCGCCGCCGCGCAGGGGCCGGGACGGGGGCGGGCGCCGCCGCGUAGGGGGGCGGGGGCGGGCGCCACCGCGUAGGGGGAGGGGCAGGGGCGGGCACCGCGCCGGGGCCAAGGCGGGGGCGAGCGCCGCCGUGCAGGAGGCGGGCGCCGCCGCGCAGGGGGGCCGAGGUGGGGGCGGGCGCCGCCGCGCAGAGGGAGGGGCAGGGGCGGGCACCGCGCUGGGGCCAAGGCGGGGGCGGGUGCCGUCACGCAGGGGCCGGGACGGGGCGGGCGCCGCCGCGCAGGGGGCCAGGGCGGGAUCGCGCCGGGGCCGAGGAGGGAGGGGCGGGAGCGGGCGCCGCCGGGGCAGGCCACCGCGCGCAGGGGCGAGCAGGGCGAGCGCCACCAUGGGCAGGGGCACGCGCGCAGGGGAGAGAGGGAGGGCGCGCGCAGGGAAGAGAAGGGGAGGGAGAGGGGAAGGGAAUGGGAGGGGAGCUCACCUCGGGAUCCAACUCCGGCGAUCACCGUCUCCAAAACCUAGGGCAUCGCGGGGGGAGAGAGGUGGGAGAGGGAGAGGGAGGUUGCUACGCGGGAAAUCCAAAUGAGAGAGUGAGAGGAGGAGGGGCACAUGGGGAGGUGUGGGGCGCCGGGGGCGUGUGGGCCGGGCUGAGCUGGUUUGGGCCGGGCCACUUCGCGGAUCGAAACCCACGACACGCACGACUAUCAAACAAACUACAAUCGCGAACCAAAAACCGAGACGGAACGAGACGAACACGCAACAUCAGACAAAGAAAUGCGCUUCGGCAUGAUGCAACACCCAUGACACUUAGGUUUUGGUUUAUACAUGACACGGACACCUGUCACUAUACUGGUUUGAAAUUGGGAAGAAAGAGCAAAACAGGAAGAGAAAAGAGAGUAACGCCCGAAUUUGGUGAGAGAAAAGAAGAAAAAUUUCUACCCCCAAAUUCAGGGCAUUACACCCCCCCUCCCCUAUUGGCCAUCUUGAUCUUUUCACUAAUUGAAAGGGAAAUGUGCCCUUGGGCCAUUUCUAAGUAUUUUGGUGAUCAAGUGCCAACACAAAUGUGAAACUAUGCCAAAUGGUGGAUGAAGUGAAAAUCAACACAAAGGUAUGAUUCUAGACUUAGUACAUUGGUUUUUGUGUACUAACAUAUUUGUCUAAGUGCUAGAAUCAGAGAAAAUACAAUUGGAAAAGACUUGGCUCGAGCAGCCAAGACUCUGCUCAGUCUGGGUGCACCGAACUGUCCGGUGGUGCACCGGACAGUGUCCAGUGCGCGAGGCUGGCGUCUGGUGAACUGCCUAAUCUCGGGUCUCGACGGCGGCGUACGGAUAUAAAUCACCGGACUGUCCGGUGGUGCACCGGACUGUCCGGUGAGUCGGCUGCGGCGAAGUCGCCGCUCUCGGGAAUCAAGUCAACAGUGUACGGCUAAAAUUCACUGGACUGUCCGGUGGUGCACCGGACUGUCCGGUGAGCCAACGGUCGGUCGCGCCAACGGUCGGCCGCGCAAUCCGGGCGUGACGCGUGGCCGGGCCAACGGUCUGAAUGGGGGCACCGGACACCGGACAGUGUCCGGUGCGCCAACGGCUCCAAAUCGCCAACGGUCGGCUGCACCAAAACAGGAAAGAAAUCUGCACCAGACUGUCCGGUGCACCAGUCGACAGAAUGCAAGAAUUGCCUUCCUGGAAUGCUCUCAACUGCUCCCAGCUGCCUUGGGGCUAUAAAAGGGACCCCUAGGCGCAUGGAGGAAGACACUAAGCAUACUUUGAGCAUUCUUGAUCAUUCACACUUCAUCUUUGCGCACUCGUUUGACAUUCUUAGUAAUUUGAGCUCCGUUAUAGUGAGAACUUUUGUGAUAUUCAUUUGAGCUCAAGUCUUGCCCGUGUGUGUGUGUAUUGCUGUGGACUUGUGUGUGUUUCUCAUCCCAUCCUUACUUCCAUGUUCAUUUGUGAUCAUCUUUUGUAAGGACGAGAGACUCCAAGUUGUGGAGAUUCCUCGCGAACGGGAUAUAAUGAAAGGAAGAGAAACACCGUGGUAUUCAAGUGGAUCUUUGGAUCACUUGAGAGGGGUUGAUUGCAACCCUCGUCCGUUGGGACGCCACAACGUGGAGUAGGCAAGUGUUGAACUUGGCCGAACCACGGGAUAAACCACUGUGCCUAUCUGUGUUGAUAUCUUUGUGGUUAUUGUGUUUUGCAAGAACUCCUCUCUAGCCACUUGGCUUUAACGCUCUAACACUUAAUCAAGUUUGUGGAGUUAAGUUUUUACAGGAUCACCUAUUCACCCCCCCCCCUCUAGGUGCUCUCAAUUGGUAUCGGAGCCGUUCUCUUCAAGAAAGGGACUAAUCGCCCGAAGAGAUGGAUCCUAAGGGAAAGGGGAUGGUGGUCAACGACAAUGAGAAGGAGUCCAUCUUCAACGAGCCAAGAGACGACAAAGUCAAUGACUCCGGCUCGAGUCAAAAGAAGAAAGACGGAAAGAAGAAGAGGCGCAUCAGGAAGGUUGUCUACUACGACAGCGACGAAUCUUCCUCUUCUCAAAAGGACGACGAAUACGAGGAGAAAAAGAAAACGGUUAACUCAAACUUUUCUUUUGAUUACUCUCGUAUUCCGCAUAAUUCCAAUGCUCAUUUGCUUUCUAUUCCACUUGGUAAACCUCCUCACUUUGAUGGAGAGGACUACGGAUUUUGGAGUCACAAAAUGCGUAGUCAUUUGUUCUCUCUUCAUCCAAGUAUAUGGGAGAUAGUAGAAAACGGAAUGCGAUUUGAUAGUUUGGAUAAUUCUAUGUUUAUCAAUGAACAAAUCCAUAAGAAUGCACAAGCUACUACUGUUCUUUUAGCAUCCUUGUGCAGGGAAGAAUACAAUAAGGUGAGCGGCCUGGACAAUGCCAAGCAGAUCUGGGACACCUUCAAGAUCUCACAUGAGGGGAACGACGUCACCAUGCUCACCAAGAUGGAGUUGGUGGAAGGCGAACUAGGAAGGUUCGCGAUGAUCAGGGGGGAGGAGCCAACCCAAACGUACAACAGGCUUAAGACCCUCGUUAACAAAAUAAGGAACUAUGGAAGCACGCGAUGGACGGACCACGACGUCGUCCGACUUAUGCUAAGGUCCUUCACCGUCCUUGAUCCUCAUCUUAUUAACUCUAUUCGUGAGAAUCCUAGGUACAUCAAGAUGACGCCCGAAGAAAUACUUAGGAAGUUUGUGAGCGGGCGAAUGAUGAUCAAGGAGGCGAGAUAUGUUGAUGAGGCGCUAAAUGGCCCAAUCCAUGAACCUCAAGUCAUUGCUCUCAAGGCAACAAGUAGCAGGGAGACGCUACCUAGCAAGGUGGCGCAAAUUGAGGCGGCUGGGCUAAACGAGGAUGAAACGGCCCUCAUCAUCAAGCGCUUCAAGACAGUGCUCAAAGGUCGCAAUGAGCAUCCCAACAAAAGCAAGACAAAGGGAAAACGCUCCUACUUCAAGUGUGGUAAGGUUGGUUAUUUUAUUGCUAAUUGUCCCGAUAAUGACAGUGACCAGGAUCAAGAAAAGAAGAGGGAAAAGAAGAAGACCUACAAGAAGGCUAAGGGCGAGGCACACCUUGGCAAGGAGUGGGACUCGGAUUGUUCAUCGUCCGACUCCGACAACGAAGGGCUCGCCGCCUCGGCCUUCAACAAAUCGUCCCUCUUCCCCAACGAGCAUCACACAUGCCUCAUGGCAAAGGAGAAGAAGGUAAGUACUCGAAAUAAUACUACGUAUGCUUCUUCAAGUGACGAUGAAUCUAGUGAUGAUGAAAUAGACUAUGCAUGUUUAUUCAAAGGAUUAGAUAGAACUAAAAUUGAUAAGAUCAAUGAAUUGGUUGAUGCUUUGAAUGAGAAGAAUAGACUUUUAGAAAAGCAAGAAGAUCUUUUAUAUGAAGAGCAUGAUAAAUUUGUAAGUGCGCAAAAUUCUCUUGCUUUAGAAGUUAAAAGAAAUGAAAUGAUUUCAUGUGAAUUAUCUACGUACCAUGAAUCUAUUUUUAGCUUAAGGAGUAUCAAUGACGACUUGAAUGCUAAGUUAGAAAUAGCUAAUAAAUCAACCUCUUGUAUAGAACAUGUUAUGAUUUGCAAUAGGUGUAAGGACUUUAAUAUUGAUGCUUGUGUUGAGCACCUUACCUCUAUUGCAAAAUUAAAUGGUGAAGUGGCUAGUCUUAAUGCCCAACUUAAGACUAGCAAAAGUGAAUUUGAUAAACUAAAAUUUGCAAGGGAUGCCUACACUAUUGGUAGUGUCGGAGACCAUAAUUAGGGGUACCCUCAAGGCUCCUAAUUCUCAGCUGGUAACCCCCAUCAGCAUAAAGCUGCAAAGGCCUGAUGGGUGCGAUUAAGUCAGGGAUCAGUCCAUACGAGGGACUCGAUCAUGCCUCGCCCGAGCCUAGCCUCGGACAAGGGCAGCCGACCCCGGAGGAUCUCCGUCUCGCCCGAGGCCCCCCUCCAGCGGCGAAGAUGUUCCCGGCUCGCCCGAGGCCCUGUCUUCGCCAAGAAGCAACCCUGACCAAAUCGCCGCACCAACCGACCAAAUCGCAGGAGCAUUUAAUGCAAAGGUGGCCUGACACCUUUAUCCUGACGCGCGCCCCCCAGCCGACAGAGCCAAAGUGACCGCCAUCACUUCGCCGCUCCACUGACCGGCCUGACAGAAAGACAACGCCGCCUGCGCCGCUCUGACUGUGGUGCCACUUGACAGAGUGAGGCUGACAGGCAGUCAGGCCCGGCCGCAGGCACCAUAGGAAGCUCCGCUUCGCCCGACCCAGGGCUCGGACUUGAGCUCAGCCCCGGAAGACGGCGAACUCCGCACCGCCCGACCCAGGGCUCGGACUCGGGCUAAGCCCCAGAAGACGACGAACUCCGCUCCGCCCGACCCAGGGCUCGGACUUGGGCUCAGCCCCAGAAGACGACGAACUCCGCUCCGCCCGACCCCAGGGCUUGGACUACGCCCUGACCUCAGCCGACGGUCUCCGCCUCGCCCGACCCAGGGGCUCGGACUCGACCUCGGCCACGGAAGACAGACUCGACCUCAGCUUCGGAGGAGCUUCCACAUCACCCAACCUAGGGCGCAGACCAGCCACGUCGACAGGAGGUGCCAUCAUCACCCUACCCCGAGCUGACUCGGGCCACGGGGGACAAGACCGGCGUCCCAUCUGGCUCGCUCCGCCAGAUAGGCAAUGAUGGCGCCCCGUAUACUCUGUGACGACGGCGGCUCUCAGCCCCUUUACGGAAGCAAGAGGACGUCAGCAAGGACUCAACAGCUCUGACAGCUGUCCCUCCACCAGGCUCCAUCGCUCCUCUGACGGCCACGACAUCACACCAGCUGGGUGCCAAAAUCUCUCCGGCUGCCACAACGGCAUGUACUUAGGGCGCUAGCUCUCCUCCGCUAGACACGUAGCACUUUGCUGCACCCCCCAUUGUACACCUGGAUCCUCUCCUUACGCCUAUAAAAGGAAGGACCAGGGCCCUCUUAGAGAGGGUUGGCCGCGCGGGGACGAGGACGAGACAGGCGCUCGCGUGAGGCCGCUCGCUCCCUCUCCCGUGUGGACGCUUGUAACCCCUACUGCAAGCGCACCCGACCUGGGCGCGGGACGAACACGAAGGCCGCGGGAUUUCCACCUCUCUCACGCCCAACUUCGGCCACCUCACUUCCCCCCUUCGCGCUCGGCCUCGCGCUCGACCCAUCUGGGCUGGGGCACGCGACGACAUUCACUCGUCGGCUUAGGGACCCCCCGGUCUCGAAACGCCGACAGUUGGCGCGCCAGGUAGGGGCCUGCUGCGUGUUGACGAACAGCUUCCCGUCAAGCUCCAGAUGGGCAGUCUCCAGCGACCUCUACAACCCGGGACGGUGCUCCGUUUCGGGAGUCUUGAGUUCAUGUCCCUUGACGGCAGCUACGACAUGAUACUCAUUCCACCGCCGGGCGGCAGCGGCAACGGCGGCUGACAACCCGCCCGCCGGCGGCGGAAUCGACGACGUCUUCCCCGCGUGGUGGAAGAACAACAUUCGAGCUCGCCCCGUCCUCUCCCCCGCCAACGGAGGAGGAGGCGGGGCAACCAAGGCCAAGCGGGAAGCAGCGCCUCGUCGGCUGUCGAGCGAGUCGACAGCGCCAGCACCCCAAUGGGAGGCGCACCGGGCAUCGACCUCGCGCUUGAGACGAAGACGAGCGUCGUUUCCCGCGAAACGCCAACUCCGGGCAAACGGACGACGCCAGCACGCUCGCGGAAGGCUUGCUGGGUGUCACCCUCGUACCUAAGACGACGGUGCAGUCAGUCCCUGACGCGACUUCAUCACCACCCGUCGACCAAGAGGUACCGACCGAUUCCCAUCCCAUGUCAUUCGGAUUCAGCCUCGACCCGCCUAGCGGCUUUGCUUUGGCGGGUGCUCUCGUAGAAGCGAGUCCAAACCCUCUGGGGUUUCGUAUGCGGUCACCUUGGGACCCGCUGACAAAUGUCUCGACCUACGGGCCCUCUGGGUCCGAGGAAGACGACGAGCCCAGCAUCUGUUGGGAUUUCUCUGGACUUGGCAACCCCAGUGCCAUGCGGGGCUUUAUGACCGCAUGCGACUACUGCCUUUCCGACUGUUCCGACGGUAGCCGUAGCCUCGGCGACGAGGACUGUGGCCCAAGCCGCGAAUGUUUCCACGUCGAUCUAGGGGGUCCCUCCGGAGGCAACCAUCUCGGCAUGCCGGAGGAUGGUGAUCUCCCUAGGCCGGUGCCUCGCGUUGACAUCCCACGGGAGCUAGCUGUGGUCCCCGUUCAGGCGGGGGGCCAUGACCCACAGCUCGAGCAAAUCCGCGGGGUGCAGGCCAGGCUCGACGAGGGAGCAGGAGCGCUUGAGCCGAUCCGCCGGGACGUCGGGCAGGCAUGGGCGGGCCAACCUCCGGCCGGAGAAAUACGUCAUCUACCCCAGGGCUUCCAGCACCGCAUCGCCGACGACGUCAGGGUCAGGCCGCCGCCCGCAUCUAGUGGGGUCGGCCAGAACCUGGCUGCAGCAGCAAUGCUCCUCCGCGCGAUGCCGGAGCCAUCAACCACCGAGGGGCGGCGAAUCCAGGGAGAGCUCAAGAAUCUCCUGGAAGGCACCGCGGUCCGACGGGCCGAGAGCUCCGCCUCCCGAAGGCAGGGGUACCCCUCGGAACCUCAUGCCGCGACAUCCCGAUUUAUGCGGGAAGCCUCGGUCUACACCGGGCGCACGCGCAACACAGCGCCUGCGGCCCCGGGUCGCCUCGGCAACGAGCACCAUCACCGCGACCGUCGGGCCCACCUCGACGAGAGGGUGCGCCGAGGCUACCACCCCAGGCGUGGGGGACGCUACGACAGCGGGGAGGAUCAGAGUCCCUCGCCCGAGCCACCUGGUCCGCAGGCCUUCAGCCGGGCCAUACGACGGGCGCCGUUCCCGACCCGGUUCCGACCCCCGACUACUAUCACAAAGUGCUCGGGGGAGACGAGACCGGAACUGUGGCUCGCGGACUACCGUCUGGCCUGCCAACUGGGUGGAACGGACGAUGACAACCUCAUCAUCCGCUACCUCCCCCUGUUUCUCUCCGACACCGCCCGCGCCUGGUUGGAGCACCUGCCUCCGGGGCAGAUCUCCAACUGGGACGACCUAGUCCAAGCUUUCGCCGACAAUUUCCAGGGCACGUACGUGCGCCCCGUAAAUUCCUGGGACCUCCGAAGCUGCCGACAGCAGCCGGGAGAGACUCUCCGAGACUACAUCCGGCGAUUCUCGAAGCAGCGCACCGAGCUGCCCAACAUCACCGACUCGGAUGUCAUCGGCGCGUUCAUCGCUGGCACCACUUGCCGCGACCUGGUGAGCAAGCUGGGUCGCGAGACCCCCACCAGGGCAAGCGAGCUGAUGGACAUCGCCACCAAGUUCGCCUCCGGCCAGGAGGCGGUCGAGGCUAUCUUCCGGAAGGACAAGCAGCCCCAGGGCCGCCCUUCGGAAGAUGCCCCUGAGGCAUCAACUCAGCGCGGCGCCAAGAAGAAGGGCAAGAAGAAGUCGCAAGCGAAACGCGACGCCGCCGACGCAGACCUUGUCGCCGCCGCCGAGUACAAGAACCCUCAGAAACCCCCCGGAGGUGCCAACCUCUUCGACAAGAUGCUCAAGGAGUCGUGCCCCUACCACCAGGGGCCCGUCAAGCACACCCUUGAGGAGUGCGUCAUGCUUCGGCGCCACUUCCACAGGGCCGGGCCACCCGCGGAGGGUGGCAGGGCCUGCGACGACGACAAAAAGGAAGAUCACCAAGCAGGAGAGUUCCCUGAGGUCCGCGACUGCUUCAUGAUCUACGGUGGGCAAGCGGCGAAUGCCUCGGCUCGGCACCGCAAGCAAGAGCGCUGGGAGGUCUGUUCGGUGAAGGUGGCGGCGCCAGUCUACCUAGACUGGUCCGACAAGCCCAUCACCUUUGACCAAGCCGACCACCCCGACCAUGUGCCGAGCCCAGGGAAAUACCCGCUCGUCGUCGACCCCAUCAUCGGCGACGUCAGGCUCACCAAGGUCCUCAUGGACGGAGGCAGCAACCUCAACAUCAUCUAUGUCGAGACCCUCGGGCUCCUGCGUGUCGAUUUGUCCUCCGUCCGGGCAGGCGCUGCGCCCUUCCAUGGGAUCAUUCCCGGGAAGCGCGUCCAGCCCCUCGGACAGCUCGACCUUCCCGUCUGCUUCGGAACACCCUCCAACUUCCGAAGGGAGACCCUGACGUUCGAGGUGGUCGGGUUCCGAGGAACCUACCACGCGGUACUGGGGAGGCCAUGCUACGCGAAGUUCAUGGUCGUCCCCAACUACACCUACCUGAAGCUCAAGAUGUCGGGCCCCAACGGGGUCAUCACCGUCGGCCCCACGUACAAACACGCGUUCGAAUGCGACGUGGAGUGCGUGGAGUACGUCGAGGCCCUCGCCGAGUCCGAGGCCCUCAUCGCCGACCUGGAGAGCCUCUCUAAGGAGGUGCCAGACGUGAAGCGUCAUGCCGGCAACUUUGAGCCAGCGGAGACGGUUAAGGCCGUCCCCCUCGACCCCAGCAGCGACGCCUCCAAGCAGAUCCGGAUCGGCUCCGAGCUCGAUCCCAAAUAGGAAGCAGUGCUCGUCGACUUUCUUCGCGCGAACGCCGACGUCUUCGUGUGGAGUCCCUCGGACAUGCCCGACAUACCGAGGGAUGUCGCCGAGCACUCGCUGGACAUCUGAGCCAGAGCCCGACCCAUCAAGCAGCAUCUGCGCCGAUUCGACGAGGAAAAGCGCAAAGCCAUAGGCGAGGAGAUCCACAAGCUAAUGGCGGCAGGGUUCAUCAAAGAGGUAUUCCAUCCCGAAUGGCUUGCCAACCCUGUGCUUGUGAGAAAGAAAGGGGGGAAAUGGCGGAUGUGUGUAGACUACACUGGUCUGAACAAAUCAUGUCCGAAGGUUCCCUACCCUCUGCCUCGCAUCGAUCAAAUCGUGGAUUCCACUGCUGGGUGUGAAACCCUGUCUUUCCUUGAUGCCUACUCAGGGUAUCACCAAAUCAGGAUGAAAGAGUCCGACCAGCUCGCGACUUCUUUCAUCACACCCUUUGGCAUGUACUGCUAUGUCACCAUGCCGUUCGGCUUGAGGAAUGCGGGCGCGACGUACCAGCGGUGCAUGAACCAUGUGUUCGGCGAACACAUUGGCCGCACGGUCGAGGCCUACGUCGAUGACAUCGUAGUCAAGACGAGGAAAGCCUCUGACCUCCUUUCUGACCUUGAAGUGACAUUCCGAUGUCUCAAGGCGAAAGGUGUCAAGCUCAAUCCUGAAAAGUGUGUCUUCGGGGUGCCCCGAGGCAUGCUCUUGGGGUUCAUCGUCUCCGAGCGGGGCAUCGAAGCCAACCCGGAGAAGAUCGCAGCCAUCACCAGCAUGGGGCCCAUCAAGGACUUGAAAGGCGUACAGAGGGUCAUGGGAUGUCUCGCGGCUCUGAGCCGCUUCAUCUCACGCCUCGGCGAAAGAGGUCUACCUCUGUACCGCCUCUUAAGGAAGGCCGAGUGCUUCACUUGGACCCCUGAGGCCGAGGAAGCCCUCGGGAACCUGAAGGCGCUCCUCACGAAGGCGCCUAUCUUGGUGCCCCCGACUGCCGGAGAAGCCCUCUUGGUCUACGUCGCUGCAACCACUCAGGUGGUUAGCGCCGCGAUUGUGGUCGAGAGGCAAGAAGAGGGGCAUACAUUGCCCGUUCAGAGACCAGUCUACUUCGUCAGCGAGGUACUGUCCGAAACCAAGAUCUGCUACCCCCAAGUUCAGAAGUUGCUGUACGCGGUGAUCCUAACACGGCGGAAGUUGCGACACUACUUCGAAUCCCAUCCGGUAACUGUGGUGUCAUCCUUCCCCCUGGGGGAGAUCAUCCAGUGCCGGGAGGCUUCGGGUAGGAUCGCAAAGUGGGCGGUGGAAAUCAUGGGCGAGACAAUCUCGUUCGCACCUCGGAAGGACAUCAAGUCCCAGGUCUUGGCGGACUUCGUAGCUGAAUGGGUCGACACUCAGCUCCCGACAGCUCCGAUCCAGCCGGAGCUCUGGACCAUGUUCUUCGACGGGUCGCUGAUGAAGACAGUAGCCGGCGCAGGCCUACUCUUCAUCUCGCCCCUCGGGAAGCACCUACGCUACGUGCUACGCCUCCAUUUCCCAGCGUCCAACAUUGUGGCCGAGUAUGAGGCUCUGGUCAGCGGGUUGCGGAUCGCCAUCGAGCUAGGGGUCCGACGCCUCGACGCUCGCGGUGACUCGCAGCUCGUCAUCGACCAAGUCAUGAAGAACUCCCACUGCCACGACCCGAAGAUGGAGGCCUACUACGACGAGGUUCGGCGCCUGGAAGACAAGUUCUACGGGCUCGAGCUCAACCACAUCGCUCGGCGCUACAACGAGACUGUGGAUGAGCUGGCUAAAAUAGCCUCGGGGCGAACAACGGUUCCCCCGGACGUCUUCUCCCGGGAUCUGCAUCAACCCUCCGUCAAGAUCGACGACACGCCCGAGCCUGAGGCACCCUCGGCCCAGCCCGAGGUACCCUCGGCUCGCUCCGAGGCACCCUCGGUUCGGCCCGAGGUACCCUCGGCCCCUGAGGGCGAGACGCUGCGCGUCGAGGGGGAGCAAAGCGGGGUCACGCCUGAUCAAAACUGGCAGACCCCGUACCUGCAAUAUCUCCAUCGAGGAGAGCUACCCUCCGACCGAGCCGAAGCCCGGCGGGUGGCGCGGCGCGCCAAGUCGUUCGUCUUGCUGGGAGAUGAGAAGGAGCUCUACCACCGCAGCCCCUCCGGCAUCCUCCAGCGAUGCAUCUCCAUCGCCGAAGGUUAGGAACUCCUGCGAGAGAUACACUCGGGGGCUUGCAGCCAUCACGCAGCACCUCGAGCCCAUGUCGGGAAUGCUUUCUGACAAGGCUUCUACUGGCCGACGGCGGUGGCCGACGCCACUAGAAUUGUCCGCACCUGCGAAGGGUGUCAGUUCUACGCAAGGCAGACCCACCUGCCCGCUCAGGCUCUGCAGACGAUACCUAUCACCUGGCCUUUUGCUGUAUGGGGUCUGGACCUCGUCGGCCCCUUGCAGAAGGCACCCGGGGGGCUACACGCACCUGUUGGUCGCCAUCGACAAAUUCUCCAAGUGGAUCGAGGUCCGACCCCUAAACAGCAUCAGGUCCGAGCAGGCGGUGGCGUUCUUCACCAACAUCAUCCAUCGCUUAGGGGUCCCGAACUCCAUCAUCACCGACAACGGCACCCAGUUCACCGGCAGAAAGUUCCUGGACUUCUGCGAGGAUCACCACAUCCAGGUGGACUGGGCCGCCGUGGCUCAUCCCAUGACGAAUGGGCAAGUAGAGCGUGCCAACGGCAUGAUUCUACAAGGGCUCAAGCCUCGGAUCUACAAUGACCUCAACAAGUUCGGCAAGCGGUGGAUGAAGGAACUCCCCUCGGUGGUCUGGAGUCUGAGGACAACACCGAGCCGAGCCACGGGCUUCACGCCGUUCUUUCUAGUCUAUGGGGCCGAGGCCAUCUUGCCCACAGACUUAGAAUACGGUUCCCCGAGGACGAGGGCCUACACCGACCAAAGCAACCAAGCUAGUCGAGAAGACUCGCUGGACCAGCUGGAAGGGGCUCGGGAUAGGGCCUUACUCCACUCGGCGCGGUACCAGCAGUCCAUGCGACGCUACCACGCCCGAGGGGUCCGGUCCCGAGACCUCCAGGUGGGCGACCUGGUGCUUCGGCUGCGACAAGACGCCCGAGGGCGGCACAAGCUCACGCCCCCCUAGGAGGGGCCGUUCGUCAUCGCCAAAAUUCUGAAGCCCGGAACGUACAAGCUGGCUAACAGUCAAGGCGAGGUCUACAGCAACGCUUGGAACAUCCAACAGCUACGUCGCUUCUACCCUUAAGAUGUUUUCAAGUUGUUCAUAUACCUCGCUCCCACGCAAAGUUUAGUCAUCCAGGAAGGGUCAGCCUUGCCUCGGCAAAGCCCGACCCUCCCUCGGGGGCUAAAAGGGGGAACCCCCUCUGCGUCGAAAUUUUCCUCGAAAAAAGAUCUUUUCUGCCAGAAUGUCUUUCGUGCUUUUUGACUACUUCGAAAGUGAAUCCUGAAAACGACGGAGUACACGUAAGCAGCCAAGGCUGACCGAGCCGAGGGACUCGUACGCCUCCGGGAUACGGAUACCUCACUCAUCACCUUCUGCGAUAAGUAACUCACGUUCGGAUAAGUGAUUCCGCGGACCGAACAAGUCUUCACGUUCGGAAGCCCUUCUGCAGAAGCGAUUCUUCGAGCCUUCUCGACUUCGUCGGUAACAUAACCCCAUGAACGGGUAAGAGUGCGCGUAAGCGGCAAGGCCGACCGAGCCGAGGGAUUCCUACGCCUCCGGGAUACGGAUACCUCACUCAUCACCUUCCGUGAGAAGCAACUCUCGCUCGCACAAGUAAUUCUGUUACCGACAAAAGAGUCCAGAUACUCAAAACAAGAGGAAAAGAGACGCAGCUUUACAACACAGCGAGGGUGUGUUUUGGCCUCGGCGGCCGCAGGAAACACACGCUACAAGACAAUCCGAUCCUGUAGGCUCGGAUCUUGACGCUUGAAGAGAGCAGCAGCACCCUCGGCGUCGACAACACCUUCAGCGAAGUCCGACCUAGCCUCGGACGGCGACGCGGUCCGAAGAUCUCCACUCUGAAGGACGACGUCAUCACCAAGCCCGUGCCAUCGCCGUCAGGGUCUUCUCCGAGAAUCCGGCUCGGGCAGGCGGUUCGGCUGGCCACCCCGAGGCCUCGACCGGCUGUCCCCCGUGGACGUCAGCCCGACCCGAGGCCUCGGCAGGACAAUUCCGGCGUCGGUCCCGCUAACGGACGGCCCGGCCAGGCUCCGGCCGACCAGGUCUUCUUAUCGAGCCAACUCUGCUUCUGUUCGCGCUGACACCGCUACCCCCGGCCUCGGCUCAUCGAAGAGCGGCCGAGGGGUUCCUUUAACUAAGCAAGAGAAGCCUCGGGCAACAAGGCUGACCGAGCCGAGGGACUCCUACGCCUCCGGGAUACGGAUACCUCACUCAUCACCUUUACACGGGGCAACUCAUGCUUGGUGAAGCGGUUCAGACAACCAACAGGCGAGUCUUAGUGCUCGAAAAUGAGGAAAAAACACGACUCUGUGCCGAAAUUACAUACAUGUUCAGGCCUCGACAGCCACAAUGAACAAAAACACUGGCAUUCAAAGUGCCAUUACAAACCGAACUCCGGUUCCACCUCCGCAGGUACGAACAACCCCACUCGAUAGGGGGGGCCUGCGGAGCAACAGAAGACUGACGGGCGGCUCGCCGCCGCCCGCUCUGGCAGUAGCAACAACGACCCCCGCUCCGGGUGGCCGAGCCGCAGCAGCGUAGGCCUCAGGGCGGGUGCUGCUGCAAUCUUGCCCUCGCCCACGCCGACGCUCGAGGGGCGAGGACAAGUACAAAGAGCCGGAGGCCUGAAGCGUGGAUGGUGGCGGUGAUCCCGUCGGCAACGGGGACUUCUCGAGCCGCCUCCACCUCGACACCAACGACAGGGGCCGUCAGCCCUCCGGCAGAUCCCCACUCAGAUCCUCCCGGACGAGUGGGGCACCGACCUCCGCGCGGAGGCGCCAUACCGGUGCAAAGGCGAGACCGCCCCAGAACACGAACGCCGCCCUAGCAGCGCGCGACAUCUUGGGCAGUCCUCCCGUGCACACGGCGCGGCAGCUGCCUUCCGGCAGGAGGGGGCACCGGGAGCCAAGCCGACAAGCUCGACGCGCCAAGGAUGACGACGCCCGCCGUCGACCAGCCCCGCGUUGUCGAAGUCCGACCCGCCUGCAGGGCCAGUGAGCGCCCUCUCCCUCGAACGCUGCAGGAGAGGCUGACCCACGAACCCACGUGGGAGGUAGAGCUCCGGCUCAGCCCGGCCUCCACCCCAGCGAGGAUGAUGAACAUCCUUGAAGCUGAGGGUGGGACCAAGAUCGCAGCCCGGCUUGCUUCUCCCCACCCAGGGGCUGGUGGUCACAGUCUUGGGUGACCGCCGGCGGGGGGGGGGGGGUACAGCCGGGCUGGUUGAUGAAAAUCCUUGAAGCCGAACGAUGGCUGAAAGGUGCCAACUCCCACGGAGUUGCAUUCUUCCAACAACGAGGCGGAAAGACAGCGGAUAUCCCCCAUCCGGGGGCUUGGAAGGUGGAAAGACACGAUGCAUAAGGGAGCGCGAAGACAUGGUCGCCUUCCAAGGGGGUCACCCUCCUUUAAAAGGUGACUCUCCCUGCUUGUGUCCCCAGUCGUCGCGGGCUGAGUCUUCUCCAACACGCUCCAAGGUCCUCCCCCGCGGCGCGGGGGCUGGGUCCCACACGUCAUGCAAGUCGGCUCAGAGCAGAAGAAGCCAAACCGCCGUGCGCGGUGCGUACAACCGCCCAGCGGUUACAAGCGACUCUCCACUUUUUCCCAGACCAACGGGCGAAAGGGGCGGGCAGCCAUGCAGGCGGCAUGCAACCGCGCCAAGUGGGUGCACUUCUCCGACUCCCAACACGCCCAGCACGGAGGCCCAGGCCCACGCGUCAUGCAACCGGCGCACCGAAUGCUUCGUGCAUGCAACUGCACCGCCACUUGCGCCACUACCGCGCCUCCUCGACUGCGGAACCAAUACCGCGACUCGAGGCGACCCAGCGCGCGACCCAGCAGCGCCAGCCUGGCGCGACGGUCAAUGCGGCCAAAAAUGGGCCGGCAGUAAUGGCGGUGGCAGGCGGGCAGGAGCAGCGGCCCCGUCGUCAGCCAAGCUCACGUCCCAUCCGGGGGCAGUGAGAGAACCCUCUCUCACGGCGUGAAGACAACGCGCCCGUGUUCCGUUCCUCGAACGGAUCGCGCACGCGCAACGGCCGCCCCGCCAACCACUCGCCCCGUCGCAUUAACUCCGCGGCGGGACAGGCAGCGCCUCUGGCAGGAGGAGCGGGCGACGCUUCGCCUUCGCCAUAAUGACCGCGUCGAAAAAGGUACGCCGCGUCAUUCGAUUUCGUAUCCUUUUCCUUUUUUCCUCUUUCUCUCUCUUGCAACAGGGACCGGGAAAGGGGGAUACCCCGAAAAGGAUCCUUCCCCAUGAAGGAACCAGGCUCUAAGCCUCCCUACUGAUCAGAGGUUCGAAGGCUGGCCCCUCGGAAGGGUUCGACAGCCGCCUCAGAUCGCGUGGGCUCUACACCCACUACUGGUCAGAGGUUCGAAGGUCGGCCCCUCGGAAGGGUUCCACGGCCGCCUCAGGCUACUCGGGCUCCACGCCCAUUACUGAUCAGGGGUUCGAAGGCUGGCCCCCGAAGGGUUCACAGCCGCCUCAGACGCCGAGCGAGGGAUGACCAUGGGUACGUUCGAUACAUAACCAUGGCUCGGGCUGCGCUCCCGAGGUACCCUAGGACAUUUCCGAGACCAGCGGGAACGAUCUUGUAACGGAAUCCCAUCAGAGGGAGGCAUCGAGCCCUCGGACCCCGUCGCCAGGGGACCGGGUCCGGCAGAUCACCCGCAGGUACUUUUGGGCGUGCCUCUGGGCCCCUAGCCGACCCCUAACGAACGGGGAACGGACGUCCACUCGGAUUACCCGCUUGCAGCUCACCGGAGACACCAUGUUCGGCGCCCAUCGAGGGCAACAUGGCGCUUUCCCCCCUCCUCCUUGCGGAAAGGCGACGCAGGGGCGUAUGUAAAAAAGUUGAGUUUGUCCCUGAUCGCCCUCUCGCCCUAUGCAGAGGCUCGGGGGCUGCUCUCGCAAACCCGGCUCCGGCCGAACCGUUGACAGCGUCAACAUACCAGCCCGAGAACUUGGGAUCCGACCGUACACCCGGGCUAAGGCCAGCUCGCAUGAGGGACGACCAGACCAGCCGAAGCAUUACGCGAGGCAUUAAGACCUCGGAGGAGUGAAACCACUCCUCCGAGGCCUCGGGGGCUACACCCGGCGGGUGCGCUCGCGCGCACCCACCGGAACAAAACGCAACCGAGAAAGGAUGGUCCCCUUGCAAAAAAGUGCGACGAAAGCCUCCAAGCGAGUGCUAACACUCCCUUCGAGGCUCGGGGGCUACUGUCGGGGACCAUAAUUAGGGGUACCCUCAAGGCUCCUAAUUCUCAGCUGGUAACCCCCAUCAGCAUAAAGCUGCAAAGGCCUGAUGGGUGCGAUUAAGUCAGGGAUCAGUCCAUACGAGGGACUCGAUCACGCCUCGCCCGAGCCUAGCCUCGGACAAGGGCAGCCGACCCCGGAGGAUCUCCGUCUCGCCCGAGGCCCCCCUCCAGCGGCGAACAUGUUCCCGGCUCGCCCGAGGCCCUGUCUUCGCCAAGAAGCAACCCUGACCAAAUCACCGCACCGACCGACCAAAUCGCAGGAGCAUUUAAUGCAAAGGUGGCCUGACACCUUUAUCCUGAUGCGCGCCCCCCAGCCGAUAGAGCCGAAGUGACCGCCGUCACUUCGCCGCUCCACUGACCGGCCUGACAGAAAGACAGUGCCACCUGCGCCGCUCCGACUGCGGUGCCACUUGACAGAGUGAGGCUGACAGGCAGUCAGGCCCGGCCGCAGGCACCAUAGGAAGCUCUGCUUCGCCCGACCCAGGGCUCGGACUUGGGCUCAGCCCCGGAAGACGGCGAACUCCGCACCGCCCGACCCAGGGCUCGGACUCGGGUUAAGCCCCAGAAGACGACGAACUCCGCUCCGCCCGACCUAGGGCUCGGACUUGGGCUCAGCCCCAGAAGACGACGAACUCCGCUCCGCCCGACCCCAGGGCUCGGACUACGCCCUGACCUCAGCCGACGGUCUCCGCCUCGCCCGACCCAGGGGCUCGGACUCGACCUCGGCCACGGAAGACAGACUCGACCUCGGCUUCGGAGGAGCUUCCACAUCACCCAACCUAGGGCGCAGACCAGCCACGUCGACAGGAGGCGCCAUCAUCACCCUACCCCGAGCUGACCCGGGCCACGGGGGACAAGACCGGCGUCCCAUCUGGCUCGCUCCGCCAGAUAGGCAAUGAUGGCGCCCCGUAUACUCUGUGACGAUGACGGCUCUCAGCCCCUUACGGAAGCAAGAGGACGUCAGCAAGGACUCAAUAGCUCCAACAGUUGUCCCUCCGCCAGGCUCCAUCGCUCCUCCGACGGCCACGACAUCACACCAGCUGGGUGCCAAAAUCUCUCCGGCUGCCACAACGGCAUGUACUUAGGGCGCUAGCUCUCCUCCGCUAGACACGUAGCACUUUGCUGCACCCCCCAUUGUACACCUGGAUCCUCUCCUUACGCCUAUAAAAGGAAGGACCAGGGCCCUCUUAGAGAGGGUUGGCCGCGCGGGGACGAGGACGAGACAGGCGCUCGCGUGAGGCCGCUCGCUCCCUCUCCCGUGUGGACGCUUGUAACCCCCUACUGCAAGCGCACCCGACCUGGGCACGGGACGAACACGAAGGCCGCAGGAUUUCCACCUCUCUCACGCCCAACUCCGGCCACCUCACUUCCCCCCUUCGCGCUCGGCCUCACGCUCGACCCAUCUGGGCUGGGGCACGCGGCGACAUUCACUCGUCGGCUUAGGGACCCCCCGGUCUCGAAACGCCGACAGGUAGACACCCCUCAAUUAAGGAUGGGCUUGGCUUUAAGAGAGAAGCCAAGAACUCAACAAGUCAUAAGGCUCCCAUUCCCGCCAAGGAGAAAGGGAAGGCUCCAAUGACUAAUAGUGCUCAAAAGAACCAUGCUUUCAUGUACCAUGAUAGGAGAUAUUCUAGAAAUGCUCAUCAUGAUAGGAGUUGUAAUGCUUAUGAUUCAAGUGCCAUGUUUGUUUCAAGUUCUUCCUAUGUGCAUGGUAGAGAUAUGCCUAGGAAAAAUGUCAUUCAUCAUAUACCUAGGAGAAAUAUUGCUCAUGUUCCUAGUAAAAUUAAUGAACCUUCUACAAUUUAUCAUGCUUGCAAUGCUUCCUUUGCAAUUUGUAGAAAGGACAAGAAGGUGAUUGCUAGGAAAUUAGGGGCAAAAUGCAAGGGAGAUAAAACUUGCAUUUGGGUCCCUAAGACCAUUGUUACUAACCUUGUAGGACCCAACAAGAGUUGGGUACCUAAGACCCGAGCCUAAAUUGCCUUGCAGGUUUAUGCAUCCGGAGGCUCAAGCUAGAUUAUCGACAGCGGAUGCACAAACCACAUAACGAGGGAGAAGAAGAUGUUCACCUCCUACGUCAAGAACAAGGAUUCCCAAGAUUCAAUCAUAUUCGGUGAUGGGAACCAAGGCAAGGUUAAAGGACUAGGAAAAAUAGCAAUUUCAUCCGAGCAUUCUAUUUCUAAUGUGUUUUUAGUAGAAUCGCUCGGAUAUAACUUGUUAUCUGUUAGUCAACUUUGUAAUAUGGGAUAUAAUUGCUUAUUCACAAAUGUAGAUGUGUCUGUCUUUAGAGGGAAUGAUGGUUCAUUAGCUUUUAAGGGUGUACUAGAUGACAAACUCUAUUUAGUUGAUUUUGCAAAAGAGGAGGCCGGUCUAGAUGCAUGCUUAAUUGCUAAGACUAGCAUGGGCUGGCUGUGGCAUCGCCGUCUAGCACAUGUGGGGAUGAAGAACCUUCACAAGCUUCUAAAGGGAGAACAUGUGUUAGGUCUAACAAAUGUAAAUUUCGAAAAAGAUAGACCUUGUGCAGCUUGUCAAGCAGGUAAAUAGGUGGGAAGUUCUCAUCAUAUCAAAAAUGUGAUGACCACGUCAAGACCUUUGGAGUUACUUCAUAUGGACCUCUUCAGACCCGUCGCCUACCUAAGCAUAGGAGGAAGUAAGUAUGGUCUUGUUAUAGUUGAUGAUUUUUCCCGCUUCAUUUGGGUAUUCUUUUUGCAUGAUAAAUCUGAAACCCAAGGGACCCUCAAGUGCUUCCUAAGGAGAGCUCAAAAUGAGUUGAGCUCAAGGUGAAGAAGAUAAGGAGCGACAACGGGUCCGAGUUCAAGAACCUUCAAAUGGAGGAGUACCUUGAGGAGGAAGGAAUCAAGCACGAGUUCUCCGCUCCCUACACACCACAGCAAAACGGUGUGGUAGAGAGGAAGAACAGGACGCUCAUAGACAUGGCGAGGACGAUGCUUGGAGAAUUCAAGACGCCCGAGCGGUUUUGGUCGGAAGCUAUGAACACGGCUUGCCACGCCAUAAAUCGGGUCUACCUUCAUCGCCUCCUCAAGAAGACGUCUUACGAGCUACUAACCGGUAACAAACCCAACGUUUCUUAUUUUUGAGUUUUUGGGAGUAAAUGCUACAUAUGGUGAAGAAAGGUAGAAAUUCAAAAUUUGCUCCCAAAGCUGUACAAGGGUUUUUGUUAGGUUAUGACUCAAAUACAAAGGCGUAUAGAGUCUUCAACAAAUCAUCGGGUUUGGUUGAGGUCUCUAGCGACGUUGUAUUUGAUGAGACUAAUGGCUCUCCAAGAGAGCAAGUUAAUCCUGAUGAUGUAGAUGAGGAUGAUGUUCCAACGGACGCGAUUCGUACCAUGGCGAUUGGAGACGUGCGACCACAGGAACACAAGGAGCAAGAUCAACCUUCUUCCUCAACAACGGUGCAUCCCCCAACUCAAGAUGACGAACAGGUCCCUCAAGAAGAGGCGUGUGAUCAAGGGGGAGCACAAGAUGUCCAAGUCAAAGAGGAAGAAGCACCACAGGCCCCUCCAACUCAAGUUCGAGCGAUGAUUCAAAGGAACCAUCCCGUCGACCAGAUAUUGGGUGAUAUUAGCAAGGGAGUAACUACUCGCUCUAGAUUAGUUAAUUUUUGUGAGCAUUACUCUUUUGUCUCUUCUGUUGAGCCUUUCAGGGUAGAAGAGGCCUUGCUAGAUCCGGACUGGGUGUUGGCCAUGCAGGAGGAGCUCAACAAUUUCAAGAGAAAUGAAGUUUGGACACUAGUGCCACGUCCCAAGCAAAACGUUGUGGGAACCAAGUGGGUAUUCCGCAACAAACAAGACGAGCACGGGGUGGUGACAAGGAACAAGGCAAGACUUGUGGUAAAAGGUUAUGCCCAAGUCGCAGGUUUGGACUUUGAGGAGACUUUUGCUCCUGUGGCUAGGCUAGAGUCAAUUCGCAUAUUGUUAUCCUAUGCCGCUCACCAUUCUUUCAGGUUAUUCCAAAUGGAUGUGAAGAGCGCUUUCCUCAACGGGCCAAUCAAGAAGGAGGUGUACGUAGAGCAACCCCCUGGCUUUGAGGAUGAACGAUACCCCGACCACGUGUGUAAGCUCUCUAAGGCGCUCUAUGGACUUAAGCAAGCCCCAAGAGCAUGGUAUGAAUGCCUUAGAAACUUUUUAAUUGCUAAUGCUUUCAAGGUUGGGAAAGCCGAUCCAACUCUUUUCACUAAGACAUGUGAUGGUGACUUAUUUGUGUGCCAAAUUUAUGUCGAUGACAUAAUAUUCGGUUCUACCAACCAAAAGUCUUGUGAAGAGUUUAGCAGGGUGAUGACGCAGAAAUUCGAGAUGUCGAUGAUGGGCGAGUUGAACUACUUCCUUGGGUUCCAAGUGAAGCAACUCAAGGAUGACACCUUCAUCUCUCAAACGAAGUAUACACAAGACUUGCUCAAGCGGUUCGAGAUGAAGGACGCCAAGCCUGCAAAGACUCCAAUGGGAACUGACGGACACGUCGACCUCAACAAAGGAGGUAAGUCCGUUGAUCAAAAAGCAUACCGGUCUAUGAUAGGUUCCUUGCUUAACUUAUGUGCUAGUAGACCGGAUAUUAUGCUUAGUGUAUGCAUGUGUGCUAGAUUUCAAUCUGAUCCAAGGGAGUGUCACUUAGUGGCCGUGAAGCGAAUUCUUAGAUAUUUAGUCGCUACGCCUUGCUUCGGGAUCUGGUAUCCAAAGGGGUCUACCUUUGACUUAAUUGGAUAUUCAAACUCUGAUUAUGCUGGAUGUAAGGUUGAUAGGAAGAGUAUAUCAGGGACGUGCCAAUUCUUAGGAAGGUCCCUGGUGUCUUGGAGUUUUCUAAGAAACAAACUUCCGUUGCCCUAUCCACCGCUGAGGCCGAGUAUGUUGCCGCAGGUCAGUGUUGCGCGCAACUACUUUGGAUGAGGCAAACCCUCCGGGACUUUGGCUACAAUCUGAGCAAAGUCCCACUCCUAUGUGAUAAUGAGAGUGUUAUCCGCACGGCGGAUAAUCCUGUUGAACACAGCCGCACUAAGCACAUAGACAUCCGGCAUCACUUUUUGAGAGACCACCAGCAAAAGGGAGAUAUCGAAGUGUUUUAUGUUAGCAUCGAGAACCAGCUAGCCAAUAUCUUUACCAAGCCUUUAGAUGAGAAGACCUUUUGCAGGCUGCGUAGUGAGCUAAAUGUCUUAGAUUCACGGAACUUGGAUUGAUUUAUAGCAUACAUGUGUUUUAUGCUUUGAUCAUGUUCCUUCUAUGCAUUGUGUUGUUUAUUUAUGGUGCUCAAGUUGUACAAGCACUCCCUGGACCUCACAAGUCCAUUUGCAAGUGAUGCACAUAUUUAGGGGGAGAUGUGCUACAACUUGACCCUUUGAGACUAACCAUGUGUUUGAGCUUGCUUGAUUUAGUCUCAAAGGUAGAUUGAAAGGGAAAUAUGGACUUGGACCAUGAAAGACUUUCACUGCACUCCGAUGAGAGGGUAACUUACUCCAAGUUCAUCUCCAUGUCUCGUAUUGCCUUUUUGCUCUUAUUUGAAGAUUUUGGUGAGGCAAUGGGGUUUAAGGGCCAAGAUUGAUCCCGUUUUGGUGCUUGAUGCCAAAGGGGGAGAAAAUAAGGCCAAAACAAGAAAUGGAUCAGCUACCACUUGAGAAUUUUGAAAAAGUAGAGUUAGAACUUUUGUUUUGUCAAAAUACUCUAAGUGUCUCUUUUGUCAAAAAUUGAUCUCUUGUGGGGAGAAUGUUUAAUUAUGGGAAAUAGGGGGAGUUUUUGAAUCUUUGAUCAAUUUCUCUUGGAAUACCUCUCUCUAUGCUGAAUUUGACUUAGAGAUAGGAAAUUGAGUUUGAUUUGCAAAAACAAACCAAGUGGUGGCAAAGAAUGAUCCAAAUAUGCCAAAUUUGAAUCAAAACAAAUUUGUGUUCUCAUUUGCAUUAAUGUUGCACUUCUUUUAGUUGCUUGUUGUUGUGUUGGCAUAAAUCACCAAAAAGGAGGAGAUUGAAAGGGAAAUGUGCCCUAGGGCCAUUCUAAGUAUUUUGGUGAUCAAGUGCCAACACAAAUGUGAAACUAUGCCAAAUGGUGGAUGAAGUGAAAAUCAACACAAAGGUAUGAUUCUAGACUUAGUACAUUGGUUUUUGUGUACUAACAUAUUUGUCUAAGUGCUAGAAUCAGAGAAAAUACAAUUGGAAAAGACUUGGCUCGAGCAGCCAAGACUCUGCUCAGUCUGGGUGCACCGGACAGUGUCCGGUGCGCCAGGCUGGCGUCUGGUGAACUGCCUGCUCUCGGGUCUCGACGGCGGCGUACGGACAUAAAUCACCGGACUGUCUAGUGGUGCACCGGACUGUCCGGUGAGUCGGCUGCGGCGAAGUCGCCGCUCUCGAGAAUCAAGUCAACAGCGUACGGCUAAAAUUCACCGGACUGUCCGGUGAGCCAACGGUCGGCCGCGCCAACGGUCGGCCGUGCAAUCCGGGCGUGACGCGUGGUCGGGCCAACGGUCUGAAGGGGGGCACCGGACUGUCCGGUGUGCACCAGACAGUGUCCGGUGCGCCAAUGGCUCCAAAUCGCCAACGGUCGGCUGCGCUAAAACAGGAAAGAAAUCUGCACCGGACAAUGUUCGGUGGUGCACCGGACUGUCCGGUGCACCAGUCGACAGAAGGCAAGAAUUUCCUUCCUAGAAUGCUCUCAACGGCUCCCAGCUGCCUUGGGGCUAUAAAAGGGACCCUAGGCGCAUGGAGGAAGACACUAAGCAUACUUUGAGCAUUCUUGAUCAUUCACACUUCGUCUUUGCGCACUCGUUUGACAUUCUUAGUGAUUUGAGCUCCGUUAUAGUGAGAACUUUUGUGAUAUUCAUUUGAGCUCAAGUCUUGCCCGUGUGUGUGCGUAUUGAUGUGGACUUGCGUGUGUUGCUCAUCCCAUCCUUACUUCCAUGUUCAUUUGUGAUCAUCUUUUGUAAGGACGAGAGACUCCAAGUUGUGGAGAUUCCUCGCGAACGGGAUAUAGUGAAAGGAAGAGAAACACCAUGGUAUUCAAGUGGAUCUUUGGAUCACUUGAGAGGGGUUGAUUGCAACCCUCGUCCGUUGGGACGCCACAACGUGGAGUAGGCAAGUGUUGAACUUGGCCGAACCACGGGAUAAACCACUGUGCCUAUCUGUGUUGAUAUCUUUGUGGUUAUUGUGUUUUGCAAGAACUCCUCUCUAGCCACUUGGCUUUAUCGCUUGUCGGCGUUUCGAGACCGGGGGGUCCCUGGGCCGACGAGUGAAUGUUGUUGCGUGCCCCAGCCCAGAUGGGUCAGCGCGAGGCCGAGCGCGAAAGGGGGGAGAAAGGUGGCCGGAGACCGGCGUGAGAGAGGUGGAAAUCCCGCGGCCUUCAUGUUCGUCCCGCGCCCAGGUCGGGUGCGCUUGCAGUAGGGGGUUACAAGCGUCCACGCGGGAGAGGGAGCGAGCGGCCUCACGCGAGCGCCUGUCUCGUCCUCGUCCCCGCGCGGCCAACCCUCUCUAAGAGGGCCCUGGUCCUUCCUUUUAUAGGCGCAAGGAGAGGAUCCAGGUGUACAAUGGGGGGUGUAGCAGAGUGCUACGUGUCUAGCGGAGGAGAGCUAGCGCCCUAAGUACACGCCAUCGUGGCGGCCGGAGAGGUUUUGGCGCCCGGUUCAUGUGGUGUCGUGGCCGUCGGAGGAGCGCUGGAGCCUGGAGGAAGGACAGCUGUCGGGGCUGUUGAGUCCUUGCUGACGUCCUCUUGCUUCCGUAAGGGGGCGGAGAGCUGCCGUCGUCAGGGAGCGUGCGGGGCGCCAUCAUUGCUUAUCUGGCGGAGCGAGCCAGAUGGGACGCCGGUCUUGUUCCCCGUAGCCUGAGUCAGCUUGGGGCAGGGUAAUGAUGGCGCCUCCCGUUGACGUGGUCGGCCCGCGCCUUAGGUCGGGCGAUGUGGAGGCUCCUCCGAGGUCGAGGUCGAGUCUGUCUUCCGUGGCCGUGGUCGAGUCCGAGCCCCUGGGUCGGGCGAGGCGGAGACCGUCGGCUGAGGCCAGGGCUGAGUCCGAGCCCUGGGGUCGGGCGAAGCGGAGUUCGUCGUCUUCUGGGGCUGAUCCCAAGUCCGAGCCUCGGGUCGGGCGGAGCGGAGUUCGUCGUCUUCUGGGGCUGAGCCCAAGUCCGAGCCCUGGGUCGGGCGGAGCGGAGUUCGCCGUCUUCAGGGGCUUAGCCCGAGUCCGAGCCAUGGGUCGGGCGGAGCGGUGUUCGCCGUCUUCCGGGGCUUAGCCCGAGUCCGAGCCCUGGGUCGGGCGGAGCAGAGUUCGCCGUCUUCUGAGGCUUAGCCCGAGUCCGAGCCCUGGGUCGGGCGGAGCGGAGUUCGCCGUCUUCCGGGCUUAGCCCGAGUCCGAGCCCUGGGUCGGGCGGAGCGGAGUUCACCGUCUUCCGGGGCUUAGCCCGAGUCCGAGCCCUGGGUCGGGCGGAGCGGAGCUUCCUAUGGAGCCUGAGGUCGGGCCUGACUGCCUGUCAGCCUCACUCUGUCAAAUGGCACUGCAGUCGGUGCGGCGCAGGCGGCGCUGUCCUUCUGUUAGGUCGGUCAGUGGAGCGGCGAAGUGACUGCGGUCACUUCGGAUCUGUCGACUGAAGGGCGCGCGUCAGGAUAAAGGUGUCAGGCCACCUUUGCAUUAAAUGCUCCUGCGAUUUGUUCGGUCGGCGUGGCGAUUUGGUCAGGGUUGCUUCUUGGCGAAGAUAGGGCCUCGGGCAAGCCGGAAGUAUGUUCGUCGCUGGAGGGGGGCCUCGGGCGAGACGGAGAUCCCCCGGGGUCGGCUGCCCUUGCCCGAGGCUAGGCUCGGGCGAGGCGUGAUCGAGUCCCUCGAAUGGACCGAUCCCUGACUUAAUCGCACCCAUCAGGCCUUUGCAGCUUUGUGCUGAUGGGGGUUACCAGCUGAGAAAUAGGAGCCUUGAGGGUACCCCUAAUUAUGGUCCCCGACAGUAGCCCCCGAGCCUCGAAGGGAGUGUUAACACUCGCUUGGUGGCUUUUGUCGCACUUUUUUGCAAGGGGACCAGCCUUUCUCGGUUGCGUUUUGUUUCGGUGGGUGCGCGCGAGCGCACCCGCCGGGUGUAGCCCCCGAGGCCUCGGAGAAGUGGUUUGACUCCUCCGAGGUCUUAAUGCCUCGCGCAAUGCUUUGGCUGGUCUGGUUGUUCCCUCAUGCGAACUGGCCGUAGCCCGGGUGCACGGUCGGGUCCCAAGUUCUCGGGCUGGUAUGUUGACGCUGUCAACGGUUUGGCCGGAGCCGGGUUUGCGAGAGCAGCCCUCGAGCCUCUGCACGGGGCAAGAGAACGAUCAGGGACAGACUCGACUUUUUUACAUACGCCCCUGCGUCGCCUUUCCGCAAGGAGGAGGGGGGGAAGCGCCAUGUUGCCCUCGGUGGGCGCCGAACAUGGUGUCUCCGGUGAGCUGCUAGCGGGUAAUCCGAGCGGACGUCCGUGCCCCAUUUGCUAGGGGUCGGCUAGAGGCCCAGAGGCGCGCCCAAAAGUACCUGCGGGUGAUCUGCCGGACCCGGUCCCCUGUCGAUGGGGUCCGAGGGCUCGAUGCCUCCCUCUGAUGGGAUUCCGUUACAAGAUCAUUCCCGCUGGUCUCGGAAAUGUCCUAGGGUACCUCGGGAGCGCAGCCCGAGCCUUGGUUAUGUAUCGAAUGUACCCAUGGUCAUCCCUCGCUUUGUGUCUGAGGCGGCUGUGAAUCCUUCGAGGGCCAGCCUUCGAACCUCUGAUCAGUAGUGGGCGCGGAGCCCGAGUAGCCUGAGGCGGUCGUUGAACCCUUCCGAGGGGCUGGCCUUCGAACCUCUGACCAGUAGUGGGUGUGGAGCCCACGCGCUCUGAGGUGGCUGUUGAACCCCUCCGAGGGGCCAGCCUUCGAACCUCUGAUCAGUAGGGAGGCUCGGAGCCUGGUUCCUUCACGGGGAAGGAUCCUUUUCGGGGUAUCCCCCUUUCCUGGUCCCUGUCGUAAGAGAGAGAAAGAGGAAAAAAGGAAAAGGAUUUGAAAUUGAAUGACGUGGCGUACCUUUUUUGACGCGGUCAUUAUGGCGAAGGCGAAGCGUCGCUUGCUUCUCCUGCCAGAGGCGCCGCCUGUCCCGCCGUGGAGUUAAUGCGACGGGGCGAGUGGUUCGCGGGGCGGCCGUUGCGCGUGCACGGGCCGUUCGAGGAACGGAACACGGGCGCGUCGUCUUCACGCCGUGAGAGAGGGUUCUCUCGCUGCCCCCGGAUGGGACGUAAGCUUGGCUGACGACGUGACCGCUGCUCCUGCCCGCCUGCCACCGCCAUUACUGCCGGCCCAUUUUUGGCCGCAUUGACCGUCGCGCCAGGCUGGCGCUGCUGGGUCGUGCGCUGGGUCGCCUCGAGUCGCGGCAUUGGUUCCGCAGUCGAGGAGGCGUGGUAGUGGCGCGGGUGGCGGUGCAGUUGCUCGCACGCAGCAUCCGGCGCGCCGGUUGCAUGACGCGUGGGCGUGGGCUUCCAUGCUGGGCGCGUUGGAAGUCGGAGAGGUGUGCCCACUUGGCGCGGUUGCAUGCCGCCUGCAUGGCUGCCCACCCUUUCGCCCGCUGGUCCGGGCAAAAGUGGAGAGCCGCUUGUAACCGUUGGGCGGUUGCAUGCACCGCGCGCGGCGGUUUGGCUUCUUCUGCUCUGGGCCUGCUUGCAUGACGUGUGAGACCCAGCCCCCGCGCCGUAGGGGGAGGACCUUGGAGCGUGUUGGAGAGGACUCGGCCCGCGACGGCUGGGGACGCAAGUAGGGAGAGUCGCCUUUAAAAGGAGGGUGACCCCCUUGAAAGGCGACCAUGUCUUCGUGCUCCCUUAUGCAUCGUGUCUUUCCACCUUCCGAGCCCCGGAUGGGGGAUGCCCGCAGUCCUUCUGCCUUGUCGUUGGGGGAACGCAACUCCGUGGGAGUUGGUACCUUUCAGCCAUCGUUCGGCUUCAAGGAUUUUCAUCAUGCAGCCCGGCUGCACCCCUCCGCCGGCGGUCACCCAAGAUGGUGACCUCCAGUUCGAUGGCGGGGGAAAGCAAGCCGGGCUGCGGCCUCUGCCCCUCCCUCAGCCUCAAGGAUUUUCAUCACCAGGGCUGGGGAGGGGAGUGUGCCGAGUUGGGGUCGGCCCCUGCGUGGGCGGUGGACCGCUCCUUCCCUCAGUGAUCGAGGGGUAGGGCGGUUGCCGUCCGUGGCGCUGGCAGCUGCCGCGCGCCUGGCUCUCGGACCCGAGUGGCUUCGGAGCCGCUCUCGGUGCCGGCUCCCGCCACGGCAGCUAGAAGAGGUUCUUCCGCCGACGAGAUAGCCGGGGCCGCCUACGGACCGACCUCCAACUCUACGGCCUUCUGCCCGUCUUUGCCUCACGAGUUUGGGCAUGGGCGGGGGCCUCCCGGCAGCGGCAUCCGCCCUGAGGUCAUCGCUGCCGCUGUUUGGCCCCCCGGAGCAGAAGUCGUCGUCGUCGCCGCUACUGGAGCGGGUGACGGCGUGCCGUUCGUCGGUCUUCUGUUGCUCCGCAGCCCCCCCCCCAUGAGUGGGGUUGUUCGUACCUGCGGAGGUGGAACCAGAGUUCCGUUUGUAAUGGCACUUUGAAUGCUGGUCUUAUGUUCAUAGUGGCUGUCGGGGCCUGAACAUGUAUGUAUUUUUGGCACGGAGCCGUGUUUUUUCCUCAUUUUCGAGCACUAAGACUCGCCUGUUGGUUGUCUGAACCGCUUCACCAAGCGUGAGUCGCCCCGUGUAAAGGUGACGAGUGAGGUAUCCGUAUCCCAGAGGCGUAGGAGUCCCUUGGCUCGGUCAGCCUUGUUGUCCGAGGCUUCUCUUGCUUAGUUAAAGGAACCCCUCGGCCGCUCUUUGAUGAGCCGAGGCCAGGGGUAGCGGUGUCAGCGCGAACAGAGGCAGAGUUGGCUCGAAAAGAAGACCUGGUCGGCCGAAGCCUGGCCGGGUCGUCCGUUAGCGGGACUGACUCCGGAGUUGGUCUGCCGAGGCCUCGGGCCGGGCUGAUGUCUCCGAGGGACAACUGGCCGAGGCCUCGGGGUGACCAGCCGAGCCGCCUGCUCGAGCCAGAUUCUCGGAGAAGACCCGGGUGGCGAUGGCCCGGGCUUGGUGAUGACGUCGUCCUUCAGAGUGGAGACCCUCGGACCGUGUCGCCGUCCGAGGCUAGGUCGGACCUCGCCGAAGGUGUAGCCGACGCCGAGGGUGCUGCUGCUCCCUUCAACCGCCAAGAUCCGAGCCUGCAGGAUCGGAUUAUCUUGUAGUGUGUGUUUUCUGCGGCCGUCGAGGCCCAAACACACCCUCGUCGUGUUGUAAAGCUGCGUCUCUUUUCCUCUUGUUUCGAGUAUCUGGACUUUUUUUGUCGGUAACAGAAUUGUUUGUGCGAGCGAGAGUUGCUUCUCACGGAAGGUGAUGAGUGAGAUAUCCGUAUCCCGGAGGCGUAGGAGUCCCUCGGCUCGGUCGGCCUUGCCGCUUACGCGCGCUCUUGCCCGUCCAUGGGGUUCUGUCACCGACGCAGUCGAGAAGGCCCGAAGAACCACUUCGGCAGAGGAGCUUUCGAACGUGAAGACUUGUUCGGUCCGUGGAAUCACUUAUCCGAGCGUGAGUUACUUAUCGCAGAAGGUGAUGAGUGAGGUAUCCGUAUCCCGGAGGCGUAGGAGUCCCUCGGCUCGGUCAGCCUUGGCUGCUUACGUGUACUCCAUCGUUUUCAGGAUCCACUUUCGAAGUAGUCGAAAAGCACGAAAGACAUUCUAGCAGAAAAGAUCUUUUUUCGAGGAAAAUUUCGACGCAGAGGGGGUUUCCCCCUUUUAGCCCCCGAGGGAGGGUCGGGCUUUGCCGAGGCAAGGCUGACCCUUCCUUGACGACUAAACUUUGCGCGGGAGCGAGGUAUAUGAACAACUUUAAAACAUCUUAAGGGUAGAAGCGAUAUAGUUGUUGGAUGUUCCAAGCGUUGUUGUAGACAUCGCCUUGACUGUUGGCCAGCUUGUACGUUCCGGGCUUCAGAACUUUGGCGAUGACGAACGGCCCCUCCUAGGGGGGCGUGAGCUUGUGCCGCCCCCGGGCGUCUUGUCGCAGCCGAAGCACCAGGUCGCCCACCUGGAGGUCUCGAGACCGGACCCCUCGGGCGUGGUAGCGUCGCAGGGACUGCUGGUACCGCGCCGAGUGUAGUAAGGCCUUGUCCCGAGCCUCUUCCAGUUGGUCCAGCGAGUCUUCUCGAUUAACUUGGUUGCUUUGGUCAGCAUAGGCCCUCGUCCUCGGGGAACCGUAUUCUAAGUCUGUGGGCAAGAUGGCCUCGGCCCCAUAGACUAGAAAGAACGGUGUGAAGCCCGUGGCUCGGCUCGGCGUUGUCCUCAGGCUCCACAUUACCGAGGGGAGUUCCUUCAUCCAUCGCUUGCCGAACUUGUUGAGGUCGUUGUAGAUUCGAGGCUUGAGUCCUUGUAGAAUCAUGCCGUUGGCACGCUCUACUUGCCCAUUCGUCAUGGGGUGAGCCACGGCGGCCCAGUCCACCCGGAUGUGGUGAUCCUCGCAGAAGUCCAGGAACUUUCUGCCGGUGAACUGGGUGCCGUUGUCGGUGAUGAUGGAGUUCGGGACCCCAAAAUGAUGGAUGAUGUUGGUGAAGAACGCCACCGCCUGCUCGGACCUGAUGUUGUUUAGGGGUCGGACCUCGAUCCACUUGGAGAAUUUGUCGAUGGCGACCAACAGGUGCGUGUAGCCCCCGGGUGCCUUCUGCAAGGGGCCGACGAGGUCCAGACCCCACACGACAAAAGGCCAAGUGAUGGGUAUGGUCUGCAGAGCCUGAGCGGGCAGGUGGGUCUGCUUUGCGUAGAACUGACACCCUUCGCAGGUGCGGACAAUUCUAGUGGCGUCGACCACCGUCGUCGGCCAGUAGAAACCUUGUCGGAAGGCGUUUCCAACAAGGGCUCGAGGUGCUGCGUGAUGGCCGCAAGCCCCCGAGUGUAUCUCUUGUAGGAGUUCCUGACCUUCGGCGAUGGAAAUGCAUCGCUGGAGGAUACCUGAGGGGCUGCGGUGGUAGAGCUCCUUCCCAUCUCCCAGCAAGACGAACGACUUGGCGCGUCGCGCCAACCACCGAGCCUCGGUUCGGUCGAGGGGUAGCUCUCCUCGGUGGAGAUAUUGCAGGUACGGGGUCUGCCAGUUUUGAUUAGGCGUGACCCCGCUUCGCUCCACCUCGACGCGCAGUGCCUCACCCUCGGGUGCCGAGGGUGCCUCGGGCCGAGCUGAGGGUGCCUCGGGCUGAGCCGAGGGUGCCUCGGACUGAGCCGAGGGUACCUCGGGCUGGGCCGAGGGUGCCUCGGGCUCGGGCGUGUCGUCGAUCUUGAUGGAGGGUUGAUGCAGGUCUCGGGAGAAGACGUCCGGGGGAACCGUUGUUCGCCCCGAGGCUAUUUUAGCCAGCUCGUCUGCAGUCUCGUUGUAGCGUCGGGCGAUGUGGUUGAGCUCGAGCCCGUAGAACUUGUCUUCCAGGCGCCGAACCUCAUCGCAGUAGGCCUCCAUCUUCGGGUCGCGGCAGUGGGAUUUCUUCAUGACUUGGUCGAUGACGAGCUGCGAGUCGCCGCGAGCGUCGAGGCGUCGGACCCCUAGCUCGAUGGCGAUCCGCAACCCAUUUACCAGAGCCUCAUACUCAGCCACAUUGUUGGACGCCGGGAAAUGGAGGCGUAGCACGUAGCGUAGGUGCUUCCCGAGGGGCGAGAUGAAGAGUAAACCUGCGUCGGCUCCCGUCUUCAUCAGCGACCCGUCGAAGAACAUGGUCCAGAGUUCCGGCUGGAUCGGAGCCGUUGGGAGCUGGGUGUCGACCCAUUCAGCCACGAAGUCCGCCAAGACCUGGGACUUGAUGGCCUUCCGAGGGGCAAACGAGAUUGCUUCGCCCAUAAUUUCCACCGCCCACUUUGCAAUUCUACCCGAGGCCUCUCGGCACUGGAUGAUCUCCCCCAGGGGGAAGGAUGACACCACAGUUACCGGAUGAGACUCGAAGUAGUGUCGCAGCUUCCGCCGCGUCAGGAUCACCGCGUACAGCAGCUUCUGAACUUGUGGGUAGCGGAUCUUGGUUUCGGACAGUACCUCGCUGACGAAGUAGACUGGCCUCUGAACGGGCAAUGCAUGCCCCUCUUCUCGUCUCUCAACCACAAUCGCGGCGCUAACCACCUGAGUGGUCGCGGCGACGUAGAUCAAGAGAGUUUCUCCGGCAGCAGGGGCACCAAGAUGGGCGCAUUCGUGAGGAGCGCCUUUAGGUUCCCGAGGGCUUCCUCGGCCUCAGGGGUCCAAGUGAAGCUCUCGGCCUUCCUUAAGAGGCGGUACAGAGGCAGGCCUCUUUCGCCGAGGCGUGAGAUGAAACGGCUCAGAGCCGCGAGACAUCCCAUGACCCUCUGUACGCCCUUCAAGUCCUUGAUGGGCCCCAUGCUGGUGAUGGCUGCGAUCUUCUCUGGGUUGGCUUCAAUGCCCCGCUCGGAGACGAUGAACCCCAAGAGCAUGCCUCGGGGCACCCCGAAGACACACUUUUCGGGAUUGAGCUUCACGCCUUUCGCCUUGAGACAUCGGAAUGUCACUUCAAGGUCGGAAAGGAGGUCGGAGGCUUUCCUCGUCUUGACUACGAUGUCAUCGACGUAGGCCUCGACCGUCCGGCCAAUGUGUUCGCCGAACACAUGGUUCAUGCACCGCUGGUACGUCGCACCCGCAUUCCCCAAGCCGAACGGCAUGGUGACAUAGCAGUACAUGCCGAAGGGUGUGAUGAAAGAAGUCGCGAGCUGGUCGGACUCUUUCAUCCUGAUUUGGUGAUACCCGGAGUAGGCAUCGAGGAAAGACAGGGUUUCGCACCUAGCAGUGGAAUCCACGAUUUGAUCGAUGCGAGGCAGAGGGUAGGGAACCUUCGGACAUGCUUUGUUUAGACCAGUGUAGUCUACACACAUCCGCCAUUUCCCUCCUUUCUUUCUCACAAGCACAGGGUUGGCGAGCCAUUCGGGAUGGAAUACCUCUUUGAUGAACCCUGCCGCCAUAAGCUUGUGGAUCUCCUCGCCUAUGGCUCUGCGCUUCUCUUCGUCGAAUCGGCGCAGAGGCUGCUUGACGGGUCGGGCUCCGGCUCGGAUGUCCAGCGAGUGCUGGGCAACAUCCCUCGGUAUGCCGGGCAUGUCCGAGGGACUCCACGCGAAGAUGUCGGCAUUCGCGGGGAGAAAGUCGAUGAGCACUGCUUCCUAUUUGGGAUCGAGCUCGGAGCCGAUCCGGAUCUGCUUGGAGGCGUCGCUGCUGGGGUCGAGGGGGACGGACUUAACCGUCUCCGCUGGCUCGAAGUUGCCGGCGUGACGCUUCACGUCAGGCACCUCCUUAGAGAGGCUCUCCGGGUCGGCGAUGAGGGCCUCGAACUCGGCGAGGGCCUCGGCGUACUCCACGCACUCCACGUCGCAUUCGAACGCGUGUUUGUACGUGGGCCCGACGGUGAUGACCCCGUUGGGGUCCGGCAUCUUGAGCUUGAGGUAGGUGUAGUUGGGGACGGCCAUGAACUUCGCGUAGCAUGGCCUUCCCAGUACCGCGUGGUAGGUUCCUCGGAACCCGACCACUUCGAACGUCAGGGUCUCCCUUCGGAAGUUGUAGGGUGUUCCGAAGCAGACGGGAAGGUCGAGUUGUCCGAGGGGCUGGACGCGCUUCCCGGGGAUGAUCCCAUGGAAAGGCGCAGCGACUGCCCGGACCGAGGACAGAUCGACACGCAGGAGCCCGAGGGUCUCGGCGUAGAUGAUGUUGAGGCUGUUGCCUCCGUCCAUGAGGACCUUGGUGAGCCUGACGUCGCCGACGACGGGGUCGACAACGAGCGGGUAUUUUCCCGGGCUCGGCACGUGGUCGGGGUGGUCGGCUUGGUCGAAGGUGAUGGGCUUGUCGGACCAGUCUAGGUAGACUGGCGCCGCCACCUUCACCGAACAGACCUCCCGACGCUCUUGCUUGCGGUGCCGAGCCGAGGCGUUCGUCGCUUGCCCACCGUAGAUCAUGAAGCAGUCGCGGACCUCGAGGAACUCUCCCGCCUGGUGAUCUUCCUUCUUGUCGUCGUCGUGAGGCCCUGUGGAAGUGGCGCCGAAGCAUGGCGCACUCCUCAAGGGUGUGCUUGAUGGGCCCCUGGUGAUAGGGGCACGGCUCCUUGAGCAUCUUGUCGAAGAGGUUGGCACCUCCGGGGGGUUUCCGAGGGUUCUUGUACUCGGCGGUGGCGACAAGGUCCGCGUCGGCGGCGUCGCGUUUCGCUUGCGACUUCUUCUUGCCCUUCUUCUUGGCGCCGCGCUGAGUUGACGCCUCGGGGGCAUCUUCCGGUGGGCGGCCCUAGGGCUGCUUGUCCUUCCGUAAGAUAGCCUCGACCGCCUCCUGGCCAGAGGCGAACUUGGUGGCGAUGUCCAUCAGCUCGCUCGCCCUGGUGGGGGUCUUGCGACCCAGCUUGCUCACCAGGUCGCGGCAGGUGGUGCCGGCACAAUUAUAUUUUUGUAGUUUCAAUUUAUUAGUAUGUAUGUAUUUACAAUAUAUAUCAUUUGCAUAACACAAUAUUUAUACUAUCUAUCCUUCGUAUAACACAAAUGGAUAUAAGCUCUAAAAUGGUUAGAAGUUGGGCGUUAGGAGGGGAGGAUGCAGGGUUCAAACCCCAAAACCCGUGCUAUAAAAGACUGUAUAACGAAGAAAAAACUAUAUUGCAUCAUGGGCUAAAAAUGUCCGGUUUUCUUUUUAUUGAGUACAGAGGGAGACAUUGGCCCAAAAAACAGCCCAUCAAACAGUUUUUUUUAUCGAACAAUUAGUAAAGAGGUGAGUGGUGGACUGGUGGUUAUAGGCUUAUAGCAUGUCUUUCGGCUGUGUGAGCGCAUUUUUUAUGAUUUUACGAGUCAUUCUAGUCUUGAUCACUCAAAUUUGACCAAAUUGUAGAGGAUUUCAAUAUUUAUGAUACAAAACAGACAUCAUAGAAAAAUAUAUUUUAUGAUAAAUCUCGUGAUGUCUUUUUAGUAUCCUAGAUUUGUAUUUUUUUUUCUUCUUUACAAAAUUUAAUCAACAGACAUGUGUUUGUACUUUUAUCCUAGACGAAAUACAGUGCCUUUGCACCGGUGGCCCGCCCAAAGUCGCCCGCCACUCAUGUGAGGCCCACUUGUCGAUCAACAAACGAUUAACAUGACACGUCGAUCUAUGGAGCGAGUCAGACAAUCUUUGAACCCUGAUGAACUAUGUUCAAUGAUCAAAAGUACACAUUUUUGGAGAUUUUGACACUCCGGGCAGACUAGCGGCGUUCCACAACUAAAGUGUUGCGCCACCUUUAUUAGUUAUGGUACACGCUUCUCUGCGCUCGUUUCCAGAUCAUGCAAGGGACAGGAUGUGGGCACAACGCAAGCACACCCACAAGAAAGGCAAAACACACACGACUGCCGCUCAGUGUUACAACUUACAAGCGUAUCCCAGCCAGGUUAUGUACUAUGCACAUUGCAUUGAGCUACGGCAUUAUAUGGAAACAACCAAACUGUUCGUUCCAAUGCAUCUAUAGUCCUUCAGUAUCGACGGCCACCACCAGUCGACAAAAGCACUCUAGUUGCUUUCUUACCCUUCUUCCCAGCGCCAUUUGCUUUCUGCAUCUCCGAGUUGUCAGCUGCAGUCACGGCUCUACUGGAAGAUAUGAUGCUGGCAAAUGAUAAUGCGGGUGUCGCUAACGGCCCUGCAUAACACAAAUAUAUCGUUACCGCCAGGAGUUCAAUGGAAAUCAGGUUUUAAUACACUGCAAGUGUCCAAACUCCUAAACAGACCAGGUAUCACGUACCUUGGUCUCUCGAGGUUUCACUUUGGCCAUUUGCAUCCCCAGUUCCGAGUCUUAAGGGAGGUGAGUCUUGAGCAGAUGCAAAACCCAAGCGUGUUACAUCAGAGAAAAGCUUCCUUUCACUCGCUGGUGGACUGGUGGACGGCCCAGCGUUGUUUCCCAGGGCUUCAGUGCAAAGAGACAUCAAAAUCAGCACCAACAAGAAUGAACCAAAUCUCAGAUGUGCGUAAUAAAGCAGAUGAGAAAAUGGGCAACAGACAAAUGCAAUCAGAAAACUGUGAUAUUAAGGAUAUCAAGAACAAGCAGGGACACCAUCCGAAGUUCAGUAAAUUUACCUUCAAAGUCAUCCAGAGAGAACAUGACAUCGUUGUGACUUUGAGAGGAAUUUGUAUACUCAAAUCGCAUAGCUGAUGCCUGAACAGCAGCAGCAACUUCCGCCUUCACUCUCUCACUUUCUUCCUACAAAACAGAGGAAACAUGUGAAAAGGAGCCAGAACAUGCCACACACAACUACAUAAGCAACAUGGAAAGCAAACCAUGAAAACUCAAUGGCUCUUGUAUAAUUGAAUGAUCUACUCAUACUGUAUUUGGAUUCCAAUUGCAUCUAAAUUUUCAGAAAUGGCUUGGUCCAAAUUAACCAAUUAGGUAAUCAAUUUGUAGGUGAUAAGCAUUGUGAAUUAGAGUUGCGAGUUAUAUUAUGCCUGAUGAUUCUGCGUGCAUCCUUGCUAGACAUAUACUAGGUUCCACGUGCCUCUUUAAAAAUUGACUAGCUGUCAAAACCAGUUGUAAAAGGCUUCACCAUCCCCCAAUGGGAUUCUUCCCAUUCGAUCCAGUUGCAGUCAAUGAUGCAAGUGGGGUGGCAGCGGUCAGCCCUCCCCACGUCCGCAUGAGCUUCGAGAGCUUUUUCAGACACAUGCAGAAGCUCAAGCAGCACCGAAUGUUUCUGCAGGUUUAUGUGGCAGCCUGCACAGCGCCGCAUUGCUGAUGCAACUUCACUCGUGUCCCCCUUGCCGCUGACUGCAAACGCAACCCACCCAUGGCCAACGAAGUGGCCUCCUACCCCUUGUGUGGAUGCUCAUGUGCAUGAAGGUCUUGGUUCUGGUCCGUGCAGAGCAGGUAGCCCGAGCCUCAUUUUGUUCUGGCUGUCCAGGAGAUCAGCCUGCCUAGUAGCCUUGGGUUUGGCAACGCCACAACCGCCAUCCUGCUCCACCUGUGUCGUAGCCAUGGAUAACGACGAGCCGGCCAAGGCCAUCCAACGAUGGAUGUGGUGCCGUACUAUGAAUGUCCAGAGGUGAAAAAUUCUUGCAGAUGAAAGUCGAGACGAGAACACGGUCCUUCUCAACAAUUAGGCUCCACGGCUGCAUUCGUGUUCCGGAGCGCACAUGAGGAUGGCAGCGCAGAUGACGCCUCCAACAAGAACAUCAACCCCGCGGCCACCGCUGCUAUGGAGGAUGACAGGAGGGAGCGCACACUGAGGCAGGGGAGGCCCGCACGCUUGAAGGAGGAUUGUGUGUUCAGCGUCUAGGGGCAGAUUGGCAGCUCCUCGGUUUUCCUCCUCCUUUCUGCCUUCGUAGAUCGCAAUAGCACGCUCCUUUAGCCCUGCGCAUUCCCGCGACACCAUUGGGCCAAGUGGACGAUGGGCGUCGAGCCGCUCCUGUUUUACAGGCUCGUGGCACAGGUCUACGAGGGCUUGAGGCACAGUAGCCCAGUAGGUUAGCAGGUUUGGCCUGCGCUGCUUGCAUUCCUAGUUGCAGUUGCCAUGCUACUUUUGGGAAAGAACCAACAAAUAUAAGACAACCAAGCAAUAUAAGGAAUAAGUUUUCCAAGUAGCGCCUCCAAGUCCCGGGUUCGAUUCCCCUCGGGGGCAAAUUUUCCGGCUUGGUUUAAAAAAAUCCCCCCGUUGUACCCCAUCCGCUCUCGGGCUACGAUGUCCUGUGUGCCACCCUCCAGUUAGGCCAUUGCAGAGUGGACGGUCGACAUCGGCCCGUUAGUGAUGGAGGGCAGGUUUCGGGGAUUUUUCACAGCCGGGCCAUUGUUUCGGUCUCUUCUUUGUAUUAUACCGGGAGGGCGGUCUUUCCUUCUGUCAUAGACCUUCGGUCCAUGGGGAUAGCUGUCUUCUCCGGCGAGGUUAUACCCCUCUGCCGCAGGCUUGGUUCUAGGGUAGCAGCCCUAGGCGCUUGAGAGGGUCAUUGCAAGGGAGAGAGAUUGGUUUGUUAAUGAUCUUGCUUGAUUUAUUCUCUGCUGCCAUGCGGCUUAUAAAUAGCCCUAUGGCUAACCAACUUCUCCUACAAACUCUCAACUAACUCCUACUUUCUUGGACUUAUCUGAUGCUAACAAACUCUCCACAAUUCUCUCAUUUCAAUCUUAUUCUCUAACCUUAUCCCAGCUCAUCUCAAUCUUAUUCUCUAGCCUUAUCCCAGCCUGGUUGUUGCCUCUCGCUCCCUAUUAUGUCCAUGACAUCUCCCCCUCCCUUGAGGACCAACUCGUCCUCGAGCUGCCAUAGACUUACCUGACACGACUUAAGGUUAAGUCUUUUACAUCUCGGCUUACCUUUAUUAUUUAAGACGAAAAUACAAAAUAAUUGUGGAACUAAAAUAUAAAUUUGAACUGCAGCUAUGUCCUCCUGUCCUCCUGGAUCCCAAGGAAAGAGCUGAACUGCGGACUUCACGUUGGAUGAAAGGUGGAGGAACCAGCCCGUUCUUAUGUUGGGUCUGUCCAGCACCAAGGCAGUUGCCCGAAUGAAGGAGACGACCCUCUUUGGCCGUGCAGGGGGGCUGCAUACCCAGAUCUCAACUUCUGCAGGGGGUUCAAAAAGUAUAGACGAGACCUGGUGGUUGGGCGCGCAGGCUGCGAGUUGGUGCAGGUGCAGCGAUGAGCUGAUCAGCAAGUGCAGCUUCCGCACCGCCCGCCUAACAAGGAAGCCGCGCACUGCGGCUUGCAGGCGCACCACGGCCUGCUCAUGUGAUGACGGCCAUGGGGUGGCCCUGGAGGCCACAACAAGGUGCUUCUCCCCACGAAGGAACUGUACCUGGCGGCGUGCCAGGAACCCUCGCGCUGCCGCCUGAAGCCGCACCGCUGCUUGGAGUUCCUUCUCUGUCUUCUCCUUGUAGCGGUGGAACAUCACAACGAAUUGAUCCCACUUCUCUUCGAGCCGAGUGAAUGCAUCUAGAGUUGGAGAGGGCGGGUGGGAGGGCGUUGCGGCGGCAGAUGGCGCGGCGGCUGGUGGUGGUGAGGGAUGGGCGGCUAGUGGUGGUGAGGAUAACCUGGAGCUGAUACUAGGUGAGGGAUGGGCGGCUGGUGGUGGUGAGGAUAACCUAGAGCUGAUACCAGGUGUCAUGGACCUUCGGUCCAUGGGGAUAGCUGUCUUCUCCGGCGAGGUUAUACCCCUCUGCCGCAGGCUUGGUUCUAGGGUAGCAGCCCUAGGCGCUUGAGAGGGUCAUUGCAAGGGAGAGAGAUUGGUUUGUUAAUGAUCUUGCUUGAUUUAUUCUCUGCUGCCAUGCGGCUUAUAAAUAGCCCUAUGGCUAACCAACUUCUCCUACAAACUCUCAACUAACUCCUACUUUCUUGGACUUAUCUGAUGCUAACAAACUCUCCACAAUUCUCUCAUUUCAAUCUUAUUCUCUAACCUUAUCCCAGCUCAUCUCAAUCUUAUUCUCUAGCCUUAUCCCAGCCUGGCUGUUGCCUCUCGCUCCCUAUUAUGUCCAUGACAUCUUCCACGGCCGAGUUUUUUUAGUUUUGCUUUUAGACAUUGUACAGACAUCAUUGUUAAGCAAUGAGAAAGCAAAUAUACAAAUGCCUAAUACCCCGUUUGGAUGUAGAUAUUCAAGACUAGAAUUGGGAAUUGGAAUCAGGAUUUCUGAAUUCUACUAUUUGGUUGUCUAAUGAAUUCAGAGCUGGAAUUAAAGAUCAAUUUCUUGGAAUUGGACUUUAACUAAAAAGUGUCUCUCACGAUUCAGAGCCAAGACUCUAGGUAUUGGAUGGAAUUGCAAUUACACAUACAUCCAGACAACAUAUUUGUAUUGAAACCCAUUUCCAAUACUAGACAAAUUUGGUAUUGGAUCUAAUUCAAUUCUAACAUCUCAAAUAUCUACAUCCAAACGGACCCUAAUAUUCAUCAACUAUCUUUAACAGUUACCCAAUUCAGGAGAUCUAGCAAAUCCGAAGUGGUUGACUGCUACAUAGCACAGGCAAAUCAAAGUGACAUUCUUUAGAAUGAUCAUCAGAUUUUUCAGAUACGGUUCCCCAAAACCUGGCCGCUUUCACGAUUGAACAGUUUCAAGCCAUUUAUAUCAUGGCUCCUAGGACGAUCCAUAUUUCGGACCUCAAGAAACUUUAGUUUGCAAUUUUUGUAAACUAAAAUCUGCAAUUGGCUGCUCUCCGCCAGAUAACCUGGUGGUUUUGACCCCCAGUCUGUACUACCCUAAUGCACAUGAUAGUUCUGAUGAGUUCUGAAUGGCUCAACAAACUAAUGUGCAAUGCAGCAAACAAACUUGUUACCUACCUUCUUGGCGGCUCGUUUUCUUUGUUUCUCACGCUUCUUGAUUUCAUCCAAGAAUGGAGCCAGUGAGUUAGGAGACACUACAUCACUCAAGUCAAUUUCACAGAACUGCAUAAUGUGUCAAAUGUGAGGCAUGGUCAUUGGCCAAGAGCAAAAGUUGAUCUUCACACCAACUUGACCUGCAUGUGGCCUGCCAAUAAGAAUACCAAAAUUACCUGAAAUGUAGUUGUUAAUGAGAAGUGACUCAAAAACCGAUAGCGCUUCCUUAUAGCCUCAGACUGUGUUACAGUUUCCAGCUCCAAUAUUUUGGCAGUUAUUCUGUGUGUACAAAUUAGCGAAGUUAGUAACAUCAAAGUGAUUCAAACACCAAUAAAAAACAGCAACAGCAUUACAGUGUCAAAAGAUACUUGCAUUGUGGUAGCAUUUCAAACUAGUUUUUAUUCAAAGACAAUAUGGGUCUGCAACAGAAAAAAAAUCUUCCACAAAGGGUGUGGCACAAAAACUAAUCCUAGAGCUACUUGGUAAACAAUGGCUGCAGAAAAAAUGACUUGAAACAGGUAUGGUGGAUUGAGAUAAUUGAUACUACCUCCGGUCAAAAAUACUUGUUGCAUUUGACCUUGCAAUGCCUUUGAUGCAUAUCUUUGAUCACUAAUUUCUUCUAGUAAAUAUUUUUAAAAUCCUUCAAGUCUGAUAUUUUGCAAGUCUACUUGAAUACAAAACUACACAUAAAUCUUACGUGUUUCCACCAACAGAUCCACCAUGCAGCGACCCAGGGUGGUCGCCGGCUCGCCGGAUCAAAAAAAAUGUUUCUUCUAUAAAGGAUAAGCAUAUAAUGUUGUAGGUAAGUACUCUUGUAUAGUGAGGACCAACCAGACUCCAAGAAAUUCCUGAAUCCAUCACUUAAUGUUUCCAAUUAAAUAAUGAGAAAAUUGUGGAUAUUUGUACUUCUUAUUAAGGUAUGACCAAAUCUUGUCCUAAACAACAUGUUUUUAUGUCAGGAGGGAGUAAUUGGCUUAAGGCAACUAAAAUCGCACACUCGAUUUAACAAUUAGCACAUUUGUGAGAACCCAAUCACAAAACAUCUUUAAUUGGACCAAAUGCUGAAAAUAAAUAUGCAAACAUCAAGCCCUUCCAGUAACCUAAUUGUCACAGGCUCACAGGUCAACUGUAGCUGCAGAGUACAACAUGCCUCACAUGUUGCAUGUAGGCAUUAUCUGUGCUCUUGGACAUUCAGGUAAAUUGUGGUGCUAGAAGCACAUAAGGGCAUACCAAUAUUGCUAGAAGCAAAUAAGGGCAUUUUAAGUUGGUAUCUUGAUGUCCUUAUUCCUUAAAUAGAAUGCAAGUUACACUACCAUAAUAGAAUUGCACUUGCACGGCAACAACAAAAUAGUGUGUAAAGAAGGGAUGAUAGAACUCGAACUUUCAGAGAAGAAGCAAAGAUCAUAUUACCUAGGUGGAAGCAUAUCAGAACCUCCAAAAUGGUUUAGAAGACAUCUCAUGUUUAGUGGAUGGAGAAUUAGGUGUUGGCCAUCUGACACCUGCAACAAUAUUUAAAACCAUCGGGAACUCUGAAUAUGUGAAACCACAACAUGAAAAAUUCAUCAGCAUCAAAAGCUUGAAAAUCUCAGACCUGGUAAAAUGUGUAUGGGUCAUGUUCAUUUGAAUCAAUGGUUGUGGUACAUUUCUCAUUUACUUUAGAUAUUGUUCCUUUACCAGAGGUUUUACUCAACUCGGGAGACAUGGAGAGUUCUGAAAUACCAUUGACCAUAUCUCUAUCUGAAAGAGAGAUCUUGUGCUCACUCAUCUGCUGAGAAGUAUUCACAUCAAAAGAGUUCCUAGACUUGAAACUAGAUCCAGGAGAGAAGCUAUCUUUUGAUGGAGGACUACCACCAUAAUUUCUGUAAUCAAUCCAAUAUUUCGUCUUCUCUUCCAGUUGCUCCAAAGCAGCAGAAACAAAUGGAAGUUUCUCCAAGUCAUCAACAAGGCCUAAGUCAGCCAUAUGCAACCAAUUACUAAGAUCCAAUUUUGCAUCUCGAACAGACAACUCCACAUCAGAUGUCAAAAUAAACUUUGAGAAAACAUUAUAAUGCUCUUCAUCUGUUGUAGAACUUUCACUGGAGGAGCUUUUGAUGGAAGGAGUGAGCGAAUUUCUUGACCUGCUCAGAAGUGUAAAUGUGACAACGUCACCAGCACGGACAUUCUGGACUUGAGUAAUUUGUAUUGUAUACAAAUCCUUUGAUGAUAUCAUCAUGAAACACAGAGGACACUUCUUCCAACACUCACCUCUAUAAUCAUCUUUGCCCAUCAUUAGAUAACGUAAAAUGCAUGGAAAGCAAUAUAUGUGUCCGCAUGAUGUGAUCUGUGGGCACAAUGGUCUUUCCAAGCAAAUAGGGCAUUGUACCUCAGAAGGGCUAUAGUAUCUUACACAGAUAAUAUCUUCCCACUGAAGCAUCUUAUCAGGAUCCAUUGAAUCAAUCUGGUAAUUCCCAGUAUCCAAUACAACAAACUUAUAGUUUGCUUGGAUGAACAGAUCCUUGUUGUAAGGUUUUAUCUUCCUUUGUCUUCUCGGAAGAUAUGUUCUAGGGCCUCUGGGCUGUGGCCGAGAAAUAGGAUCAUACUGGAAAUUCAGUAGGUGAUUAGCAUUCACGGUCUGAUUCUUCCUGGCAGCUAUCUGAGUCCCAUUACCCAGUCCAGUAGAACCUGAAGCCAAAUGGUCAGCCUGAAGGGAUCCCACCAUUUUAGGUCUCUCAGGAUAUGACCCAACUGAGCCAAAAUUAUCUACAGGCAAACCGGAAUCCCCCUGUUCUGAAGAGUGGCAUUCUGAAACAUUGCCAACCUCUUGUGUACAUGUAUCAUUCUCUUCCCCAGAUAUUAUAAAUCCAACUACCUGGAAGUUAUUGCAUUUUAUCAACGUGUUAAGAGCUGAAACCGGAGUUUUUAACACUAAUGUGGAAAGAAAAGAUGAAAAUGGCAAUAAGCUCCACAAGCACUUCACCUUUUCGGGAGCAUUAAUAGAUUCUCCAAUAGCUGGAACCACUGGGUCUGCAGAAUAUGAAUUGCAUUGUAAAGAUUACUCUGAAAACAGGAGGGCUAAAAAUGGCGUGGCAUCACCAAUGAGAAUGCAACAUGAAGUUAUGCACACAACUAGUCUAACGAGCAGAUAAUGAAAAGCUGACUUAAGAUCUUAAUAACAACCAGGUAGUUAAAGUGAAAUAACGAGUAUAACUACACAACAGCAUGUACAGAGCAACUUAAUUGAAAAUUAACAAGCAAAUCAAAGGCGAGUAUCUCCAUGGCCAUUGGAAUAUGCACUUCCAAUAUUAGUACUACACUGGGAGAUGUCCAUAUGAAAAUUAAUUGUUUAAAGUUCAAAAUGCUAGCACUAGAGCUUCAGUAGCAUAUUUUUUCACUAGCUCUAAAAGAACCAAGUGUAGGGUAAAAAAAAACUUAUCAAUUAAAAGUCACUGCUGAUCUAACUAUAAGACAUUCAUUUUUAUGAAAAAAAUGUAUCUUGAAUCAGAUAAGCAUUGAAUAUGAAUUUCAGCCAACUAUCGCUGAUACACAAAAUAUGGUCAGAUUUAAACAUCUAGAUGUAGAUGUGCCCUAGAUAAUCUUAUUCUUGAUGCAAUGUAUUGAAUCAUUGUCAUACAUAGAGUUAGGCACGCAGAUUAAGACCAUAUUGUACACUAAAAACAGUGUGUGGCCAUCACAUAUACAUGAAGAAACAAUGGUUACGAUGAAAUCUAAAUUAUAUCGCUACUGUAUUUUUGGCUGGAUAGAACUGAGCCAAACGAAAAAUACUAUCACCUGGGUGACUGAAUCUAUCAUAUACUUUCACCCUCCAACACAAUAAACAGAAACUCAGCAAAUGUUUUGCAUCCAAAUUUAAUCAAACCUAAUAGUAGAAAACAUUCAGAAACUACAUUUAACUGACGUGCUUGACCAAGCCUAAUCCCACGAGCAUUUAUGCACACAAAAUCUAGCACCACCCAGACUAUCAAAUCAUUCUCAGCUCAGCAUAACACCUACUCCAUCCAUCCUAGAAAGAGUGCCAUCCUCACAUUCCGAUAAGUCAAACACUUUCAAAUUUAACCAAAUAUAUAUAAGAAAAUAUUAAUAGUUAGGGUGCAUAAUUAGUAUCAUUAGAUGAAUCGUUGAAUAUAUUUUCAUGAUACACUUAAUUAAAAUACAAAUGGUGUUAAUAUUUCACGAGCACGAAUCCCAUAGUGACACACUUUUUGGACGGAGGGAGUAGAAUCCAUGGCCAAUCAGGCAAUCACAUGAUUUAAGCGGCUGAAAAUAUCAGUCCCUAAUGCGCAAAGAGAACGCUGUAAACUUGCUAGGGGGCACAAAUCCCUUCGAAGCUUGUGCUUAGCCAAACAACGCACGUAAUCCAAACAGCACCACAGCAGCUGGUAGUUUUCAAAGUAACAACCAGAUCCAACCCCAUCGGGAAUCGUUCAAUCGAUCUACGGGCGAAGGGGGACGAGUGGAAAGGAAAACUCACUGGAGCUCGAGCCGACCCCGCCGUCGCUAGCUUCCGCAGCGGCGCCGGGUGGCGAGACGGAUGCCGGAGGGGAGCGGCGGCCGUGGCGGCGUCUGUCGCUGCCAUGUUGGGGACUAGGGCUAGGGUUGUGCGGGCGCGGGUAAUAGGCUCCUCCGGUGCGUUCGUGUGGAGAGAUGGACAUGAACCCGCGCGGGAGCUCGUGGGGUGGGUGAGCGGCGCUCGGUCGAACGGCGGCGACGGAGAGGGCGGUGGCGCGGGGAAAGGGACAGGGUGGCGUGGGGUUAAUACGGUCGAUGCGUGGUAGGAUCGCCGGUUGGCGUGGCGAUGGGCAGGCAAGGCCGGGCUCACGUAGACCAACCCACGUGUAGGAUGAUAACGGGCGAAGAAAAAAUGCGCGGCCCAGACGUCAGUUACGUGGUGUUGGGAAAUAUUAUGGACUGCGUUCAUGCAAUAUGGAGGAAGAUGGGAUUUCAGGGCAGAAGUAGAAAGGAUAUGCGGUUAACGAAGUCCGCGUGGAUGAUGUGGUAUUUUUUUAAAAAAAUAAUAUCUUAAAAAUAAAAGUAAUGUGUCUUAAGAAAAUAUAGUUAUUUUGACUUUAUCCAGCGAAAGUCACUAGUACAACAUAAACAUAAGUAAAUUGUACAAGAGUCCCACUCCCAACUUGUAAGGGGCCGGUAUGCAUGCCCUGUGUUAGUACCACCUCGCCUAGCCAAGGGGGCCGUGUUGCACUUAUAAGGGCGGGCCUCCCUCCUCUCUCAGCCUAGGUUUUGAGAGCGAGGUGCCUGUCUGAAUAGGCUGCGCGCGAGCGCAUGAACGCCCGACGCUGGUGAUGGUGGGCUUUGGCGGACUGGCCCAGUGGGUGCGUUACAAAUGGUAUCGGAGCCCACAUUGCCGCUGCUGCCUGGGAGAGCUUUGGGCCUCUUAGGGGGGUGGGAUGUAAGGGGCCGGUAUGCAUGCCCUGGGUUAGUACCACCUCGCCUAGCCAAGGGGGCCGUGUUGCACUUAUAAGGGCGGGCCUCCCUCCUCUCUCAGCCUAGGUUUUGAGAGCGAGGUGCCUGUCUGAAUAGGCUGCGCGCGAGCGCAUGAACGCCCGACGCUGGUGAUGGUGGGCUUUGGCGGACUGGCCCAGUGGGUGCGUUACAAAUGUCAGCAGCUCUAGGUGCUAUACAAAAGUUAAGGAUGGUAGCUCCGGAUGUUCUACGGAAGCCAAGCCAUGCAAGACGAGGAGAAGCAGGCUUCUGAAGCUGUUGAAAGAGGGAAGCUGAGAAGAGUAGCCGAGAGACUAAGCCCAACAAGAAGUAUAUUGGUGUCAAUAGGCUGUAAUAGGGCCCACAUAUUUGUUAGCUAUAAAAGAGGGAAAACUGCUCGUCUGUAACCUGGCUUUUGGCUAACGAUGAACUUGGAAAGGAAGAUAGAACAUAGAACUGAUUCCUGAGUGUCUGGUGAGUCUUGUGAGAGGGUGUUGUUAACAUUUGGUAUCAGAGCUGGUUCUUCCACACCGUCGCAAACCAAUUUCAGGCGAGAAUUGGAACUAUGGCGUGGCCGAGCCUCGAAGAUCCGAUGGCGCAGCUGAUGGCGAAAAUCGAGGAAGGAAAUUGAGGGAUUCAUCGGUGUAUGGACUCGAUGCAGUCUGCUAUGGAGAAGAUGGAGAUCACGCUCAAGGGUUUGCUGACAUAUCAGAGCGACUUCGAGAAGGGGAGGCCAGGAAUCGAAGCGGAGGAGGUGGGGAUGAUGGAAGCACCAAAGUCCGUUCAGAAUCUGGUGGCGAACGCCAUAUCGGCGCGCGUCAUCUCCAUUGAGAAGGAUGGCUCCGUCUCCGACACGCCAGCAACGUCCAUGCCUUCUCCGGCCUCAGAUCCGCGGCAUGAUACCAGCUUCACCACCACACGCACGUGUCUGGGCACAGACCAUGCUGUCACCGCCGCGAGCAGGCGCGCCGGUGCGGGCCACGUCGCGAGUGAACGCACGAGAGGGCGCCACCGUCGCCCCCAGCCGUGCGGACGAGCAAGCGCCCCUGCCGCCGUCGCGGGCACACGCGGACCGUCGCCGCCGCCGCGUAGGCGAGCGUGCGCGGGCCGUCGCCGCUACACAGGUAGCACCGAACCGUGCCCCGUCCAGGCGCCCCUGUCGCCAUCGCGCAGGCGAGCGCAAGCGGGUCGCCGUCACCGCCGCCACAUUGACUCCCUGAAGUGGUGUCUGGUUAUUGAAGCGAAGGGGGUGGAGAUGGCAGAAGCACUAACGAACAUCCGGAAUCAGGCGAACAACGUGGCGCGGAAGGCACUCGGAGUUCCUCUUUCCAUUUCGGUGGUGGCACGCUCCUCGAUGUCGAUUCCUCUGGUAACUACGUCGAGCGGAGCGACAACUGGACCAAUUAUCCAACAAAUCGCUGAUCCUUAUCAACAACCAGCUACUGAUUUGAAUGCAACCCGAAUCCCUAUUCUAGUGGAAGAUGUGGUGACCGAGUUCAUCAAUGGGUUGGUGGAUAUUUACCCAGAUCUGCAGUACCUCGAAGAGUUCCCUCAGAUUAAGGUCGUUCAUCGUGUUGAGGUCGAGCACAGUUCCUAUGACAAAGUUGCAGUCAUCUCAGGUGGUCAAAGUGGCCAUGAACCUGCCCAUGCUGGAUUUGUUGGUCCUGGAAUGCUGACCGCUGCUGUCUCUAGAGAGGUCUUCACUUCUCUACCUGUUGAUUCUAUUUUAGCCAUUGUUCGAGCUGUAACUGGUUCCAAGGGGUGCUACACGGAUGCAAAGAUGUGUGAAGUCGUGACGAGGCCCUGCGUCAGGGGAGGGAUGCAUAGUGACGCUGUCAGGGUGUUCGGUGAAAUGACCGGCGCCUGGGUCAAGCCCGACGAACACGUUUAUGCCACCACAAUCACAUGUUUGGGCAGGCUACAUGAUGCAGAUCAUGCACUUCAGGUACUGGAAAAGAUGAGGGAGGCAUGGGUCGAGCUGUGGGAGUUAACAUGCAAUUCUAUGGUGGGUGUGCUUGUGAAGGUGGGAAGGAUGGAUGAGAUAUUGCAUCUAAAGGAUCAGAUGAUGCUGGCUAAGGAGAAGAUGGAUGUGGUUCUCGCGAGAAUGUUGAUGCACGUGUACUAUUUGAGUGGAGAAGUUGGGAAAACAUUAGAAUUGUUUGAUGUGGUUGCCAGUGAUGGUGUGACACUGUCCAAUGUGGCAUAUGGGGUGAUGAACAAAGGUUGUGAAGAAGAGGGGAUGACAGAUGAGAUAUAUAAGCUAUGCACAUAUGAGUUCAAUUUGGUGAUCAGAGGCCUCUUGAGAAACAAACAGUGGAAAGUUGACAUUGACUUACUUGAACUUAUGGUUGAUACUUGGGUACCACAUUUCUUCACUUACAGUUGUCUAAUUCAUUGGCUCUACAAGCAUCACAAACUCUGCGAGGCAGUCAGCUUAUGGGAUAAGAUGACGGAAGCAGGGGUCAACCCUUCUAUUGUGACAUACCACACCCUAAUGUUGGGGUACUGUCAGAAAGGGUGCAGAGAUAAAGCACUCAAGUUAUACUCUGAGAGGCUUGAUGAAGGAUUCCCAUCUAAUGAGGCCAGUUACCUUAAGUUGAUGAAAGGGUAUAUCAAGAAGAAAACUGUUGACAAGGCCUAUGCCCUUCUUAAUGAAAUGCGUCAGAAUGGAGCUCUCGACGAGGGUUUUAAGCAGGCAAAAUCUGAAGGCUAUAAUAUGGAGAUGGUCGUUGCUGGAGCUGGUUGUGUUUUUUCCCCACCUAGAGGAAUAGCAGGUAGAAGAGGUUCAGCUAGAACAAUUAUUGUGCAUAAAGUUGCUGAAGAAGCAAAACCUGCAUUUGAAGUUGACGUUACGAUGGGAGUUGCACUUUCUGUUUGCACAUUGCCAGAGCAAGUUACUUCUGGGAGUUUGGGUCAAAGGCAACUGGAGCUUGGCCUUAGAAUCCAUGGAGAACUUGGUGUUGCUGUUGUUGAACUCCAGUCAGUUGAUAUAGUAGCAGAACAUGUUCUUAAGCAGAUAGUGUCACGAGAAACUCAGUAUCUUCCUAACACAAGGGGUUGCAAUGAUGUUCUCCUAGUGAAUGGAUUAGGCGCCACUCCUAUCAUGGAACUUAUGAUUGCAGCAGUUCCUGAGUUGCAAUUGGUGUAUGACAUUGCUAUUGACAGGGUCUACACUGGCACAUUAUUGACAUCACUGGAUAUGGCAGGAUUAUCCAUUACCGUUAUGAAGUCUGACCAAAGUAUUUUGAGGAGACUUGAUGUUCUCACUAAAGCUCUAGCUUGGCCAGUUGGUUAUGAAGGAACUCGUCCACCAGCAAAGCUUCAUGUUCCUCUAGCACCAUCACCAUCAAUGAAGGAUGACGAGAUUCUUGCUCCAUCUCAAGAGCUGAGCAAGCAGUUCUUGAUGUUUCAUAUGCACCAGCAAAGUUUUCCAUGUGUACCAACUUGGGGACAAGUUGGAUCUCUAGGAGGGGGAAAUGUCAGCAGCUCUAGGUGCUAUACAAAAGUUAAGGAUGGUAGCUCCGGAUGUUCUACGGAAGCCAAGCCAUGCAAGACGAGGAGAAGCAGGCUUCUGAAGCUGUUGAAAGAGGGAAGCUGAGAAGAGUAGCCGAGAGACUAAGCCCAACAAGAAGUAUAUUGGUGUCAAUAGGCUGUAAUAGGGCCCACAUAUUUGUUAGCUAUAAAAGAGGGAAAACUGCUCGUCUGUAACCUGGCUUUUGGCUAACGAUGAACUUGGAAAGGAAGAUAGAACAUAGAACUGAUUCCUGAGUGUCUGGUGAGUCUUGUGAGAGGG
rnacentral:lncRNA from 1 species